rnacentral:lncRNA from 1 species
CCACUUCAGUUACCCCAACGUGUGCAGCCAUUGCAUUCCAAGGAUGACAUCAUGAUAGAACACUGAUGUAGUGUUUCUAUUAUAUUGACAAUUCAAACACAACUUACAACAUAAGCAAACUGUGAACCUCAGAAAAUGAGUCACGUUACAUAUAAUUCACAAACAGCAAACAAAGAAAACCUCCUAAUCCAAAAUUCCGAACAACAAAAUACUAAUAAGCAAACCAGAAUAUAGAACACCAAUCUUCUGCUUCCCCUGUCUUUCAAGGAGUAUUGCAGACCUUUUCCUUCACUCCAAAAACUCACUUUAACAAAGAGGCAGCCACAUUUUCAGGUAUAGAAAAUAAAGUAGGUAGUAUGUAGGAAGGCUAACCAGAACUGAGUUGCAUAAGGUUUGUCUUCCGCCUCUAGAGAUGUUAUAUCUUUUCCACCUUUCAAGUUUCUUGUGAAUUCGAUCAAUGACUGGUUGCCAAAAAGACUUUUGUCGAGGGUAGCCUCCCAAAAGGAGACCUAAAUAUAUAAUCAGAAGCUUUUCUACCUUGCACCCUAUCAGAUUUGCUGUUUGAAACAAAUCUUCCUCUCCCACAUUAACGUCGCUAAGGGCUGAUUUUUCCCAGUUUACUUUCUGCCCCAAACACCAUUCGAAUAAACUAAUGACGUUUUAAAGUUUAAGGAGCAUCUUAACAUCAUACUUACAAAAGAGAAGAGUAUCAUCGACAAAUUGAAGCAAAGGGAGGUGGAUCAAGUCUUUGCCAACAAGGAAACCGUCAAACUGGCUGUUAAUAUAAAGCUUGUUUAUGAUUUCUCCUAAAACCUCACUUACUAGGAGGAAUAAAAAGGGGGGAGAGGGGGUCCCCUUGGCGGAUACCUCUAGAUGUUGUUAUCCGGCCUCUAGGCUUACCAUUGAUGAAGACUGAAUACUUUGGAAUUUUUAGGCAGCCCAUUAUCCAUGAUAUCCAUUUUGAACUAAACUUUUUCAAAGAUAAAUUUUUUUCUAAAAAGUUCCAAUUCACCCUAUCGAAGGCUUUUUCCAAGUCAAGUUUUAAAAUCCAUCCUUUUUCCGUUUUGCCCUAUAAUCUUCCACGGCCUCGUUAGCAAUUAAUAUUGGGUCAAGAAUUUGCCUACCUUCAAUAAAGGCGCUUUGAGUGGGGCUUAUAAUUGCAUCCAUAACUUGUUUUAGACGUUCAGAUAAAACCUUUGCAACGACCUUGUAUGCUAACGUAGUAAGGCUGAUUGGAUGGAAAUCCUUGACUAGAGUCACAUUCUCUUUUUUCUGCACUAAACAAAUAAAGUUUUCUUGGAUGCAAGCAUUUAAUCUUCCAUUUCUGUGGAAAUCAGACAUUAGUGAUUUGAAGAUAUCCUUGAAAAUAGACCAUUGGGUGAUUAGGAACUUCACUGUGAAGCCAUCCGGGCCCGGAGCUUUAUUGUUGCCAAGUGCCUUUAAUGCCUUAAAGAUCUCCUCCAUUGAAAAUUGGGUAACAAGAGCCUCAUUCUGAAUUGAGGAAACACAAGACCAAUUACUGUUAAUAGGGAUGAAUCUGUCCCCCAGAAUUCUGGUAUAAAGGGACUCAAAAAAUUCCACCACAAGCCUUUCAAUGUCGCGGAAUGAAGUCGAGACAACCCCAUCAUCAUUUUUUAAUUCAGUUAUGAGGUUCCUUCUUUUUUUCGCAUUUAGAAACCGGUGGAAGAAGCCCGUAUUCUCAUCACCCAAAGAAAGCCAAUUGAGUUUACUCUUCUGAAUAAAAUUACGCUCUUCGUUUUGAUAAAUACUAAGUAAUUCUGCUUGCAAAGCAGCUCUAGAAUUCAACUUUUCUUGAUUUAAUCCAAUCAACUCAGCCACAGAAUCAUAUUUUUCUAAUUUUGACAUCAAGGAUUUCUCUGUUUUUUUUUUUACCUUAGCUUGCGCAGCAAUAUUCCAAGCUUUUACUGCCAAUUUAACUGAUCUCAACUGCUCAUGAAGAAUGAAACCAGCCCAUCCCUGGAAGUUAGAGUUGCUCACUGUUUCAACAAUAAUCUGAUUAGAAUCACUGGACACCAACCAACUGUUACAAAACCGAAAAGGAGAGGGACCCCAAAGAAAAGAACCAGCCUCCAAGAAUAAAGGAAAGUGAUCCGAGAAGAUGCGUGCUUUUCGAGAAACCCGAGAAUUUUCAAAACAAAUAUCCCACAUCUGAUUUAUGAAGAAUCUGUCUAAUAAUGAUCUUCAAGGAGAAUUACCGUCUCUAGACCAAGUGAACCUUCCAUUUUGCAAUGGAAUUUCCAUGAGAGAAACCACUAUCUGAUCGUAAUUCUAAUUAUUUACUUGGCCUUGUUUCUGUUGGCUUUUUGGCCCUUAAUCUCAAAUUAAUUUAUUUUAAUUAUUCAAUUAAUUUAUGUUUUGAUGAUAACAAAUUUGAUUUUUUUAUUGACAAUUUUAUUAAUUUGAAUAGACCAUACCGUAGAGCUUGGAAAAAUGAUUCUAACGCCUCUUGAAUCACCCAAAUCGAAGUUUAAAUGAAGAAAAUAUUGCUAAAAGAAGCUUAACGAAAAAAUACCCGAGAUGGUGACGUGGCGACCAAGCAUUCAAUUUGAACCAAUUAGAGAAAGCCACUUGGAGCAAUGAAGAAGUAACAAAUGUGGCUUUUUGUUAUGUUUUAUUGGCUUUUAUAAAGAAAAUGAAUUUAAAAGAAAAAUGAUUUUAAUAUUAUUAUUUUUUCUUGUGUCUAACGGCUAGUUUUUUUUUUAAAAAAAGGGUGAAGUUGCUUUAUUGAUUUCUUUUUAAACAAAAUAUUUUGAAAAGACAUAUUAUUAUAUUAUUAUUUGUAUUGUGUCUAACGGCUAAUUAAGUUUAAAUCUCAACCAUUCAUUUUUCUUUUACUUAUAUCUAAUGACCCAAAUGAUUUUGAAUUUAUCUUUCCUCUCUUUUUAAAUACUUCACAUUUACACAAGAUCAAACAUCUUUACAAUCCUCAAGCAAAAAGCCAACAUUGUUAUUCUCUCUAAAGCUUCCAAUUUUUAUUCUUUUCAUCUUAUUCUUGAGAGCUUCUUAUUGUAUUGUGAGGAUUAAAUUUGUGAGCUUCAAAUUGUAUACUCACUCUUUUAGAGAGUUUUCUUUUGUGUGAUUUAAAAAUUUCAACAUAUUGUAACGGUUGGAUCCUAAUCCGUGGAAAGGAUCGGGUUUGCUCUUGAACCCGAAAAAGGAGCAAGAAUCGGUUCAGCUCAAAUCCGUGGAAAGAGUCCAAAGAAGAUUUUCAAUCAAAAUCCCAAGGGGUGCUUGAGAAAGUGGAUGUAGGUUGAGUUUAACCGAACCACUAUAAAAUUACGGUGUCUUCUUCUCUAACUCUUUUCUAAUUAUUUUUUAAUUUAAUUUUAGUUACAUAUUCUUAUUGGUUGAGUUUGAUUGCAUACUUCCAUUCAUAUCUUUUUAUCAAUCUUGUUAUUUAACAAAGUUUACAAAGUUCUUUAUUUAAAUUUUAGAAAAUAUCUAAUUAGUUGAUUUUACUUUUUAUUUGUCAAAAAGUUUAUUUAAACCCUAUUCACCCCCCUCUAGGGUUGCCAUACCGAUCCAACAGUUUCUUUGUAGGCAGUGAUAGAAAAUACCAGAGCAAAUGAUAUACACAAGCGAGUUCCCUUUUUAGUACCGUUUACUAGCAGGGUUAAGAUUUUCACUGUAAGCAAUUUAUUUUUUUGGUUUCCUUAUCCAUAAUAUUGAAUUUCUUGGAUGACUGUUAGUUAUAGAAAUAUGUAAGAUAUUUUUUAUUUAUGGUUACUUUCUCUAUAACUCAUUUCACAGACACAACUAGCAGCAGCUAGGCAAAGGAAUGGAUCUCUUGCUGUUUUUGCCAGAAACCGAUUUAGAAUUCGACGAAAUCAUAUAUUGGAAGAUGCUUUAGUCAGAUGAGUGCAUUGUCUGAAGUUGAUCUUUGAAGAUCGGUAAUUUCAGACUUCCAUGAUUUAUGAAAAAUGAAAUUGUUAUCUUACUUUUUUCUAUCUUUUUCUUUGCCCUCGUGAAAACGACCCUUUCCCUCUUCUGCAUCAUAUAGUUGCAGAGUUACUUGUAAUUGUUUAUUAGUUUUUUCUUGUUUGUGUUGGGUCAAUUGCUUCAGUUUUCUGCAUGCAGAUACGUGUGUCUUUUGUUAAUGAAUUUGGAGUUGAGGAGGCAGGAAUUGAUGGUGGUGGUAUUUUUAAAGAUGUCAUGGAGAACAUUACACGGGCAGCCUUUGACGUGUAGUAUGGUUUAUUUAAGGUUAUCACGACAUUCCUUAUUAUUAGCAUGGCAUGGCUUUGUUAAUCCUGUAGUAUUAUUGGAUAACAUAGUUGUGAGAUCACAUUUCAAUAUAAAAAUUGGUUGCUUGAAAUCUAUUUCAUAAAAUUUCAGUAAUAUGUGGGUAUGUAUUGUUCAUUUUUUCUAAUAUAAGUUAUUUUCUGCAUGGUAAUCCAGCAAAUUGCUGACCAUUUGCUCUACCCCAAUCCUUGUUCGGGAAUGAUACAUGAGCAACAUCUCCAGUUUUUCCAUUUCCUCGAAGUUCUUUUGGCAAAGGUAUGGCCAUAAUUCCCAAUCAUACAUGGAAUUUACUUUGGUUGAUUAGUUUUUUCUUUUUUUGGAUAAGGAUAUCCUGGUCUUGGCCUUAUCAUGGAAGAUUCUUAUAUAUCUUUCACCCCAUACUUUGGUUGAAUUUUGGAACAUUAAUGUAUCGCCUGACAUUCAUAAAUACAAUGUCAUAAUUUGAAAUCUGCUGUCUUCCUACAUUAUGCAUGUUUUUCUGUUAUUGAAGUUGCUGCCCGGUUGUGCUAAAAGUUCUCAAGCAGUCAUGCUAAAAGAUCUCAAUCACAUUAAAUGAUUUUUGACAGGAUGUUGUUGUUUUACCCUUCUUCCUGUAGGUCAUGUUUGAAGGAAUUCUUGUUGAUAUACUUUUUGCAACAUUCUUCUUGAGCAAGUUAAAACAGAAGUAAGGUUUUUAAAGAUUUACUGUCUUACUGUUUUGUAUUUUGUGCUGAUCCACUAAUCGUAGUAUUGAUGGUCAUGACAAUGACUAGUUGCAAGUUACUUGAAUUUUUAGGGUUCUAAAAAUCUUACAUUUUAUUAUGGGUGCACUGCCUACUAAUGAGAUUGUCAAUUGCUAACUUCCAAAUGUUGAAUUUGGGAUUUCCAUGCUACAUUCACUUUCUUGAUCUGCAAUUACAGAGCUACUCUAUACUGGAAUAAAGUCUGAUCUGAACUAUACACUGUUUUUUAUGCUGUAAUUGCAAAGCUAGGAAAUCUUUAUGUAUAAUGCCUUUUUUUUCAUCAUUUAUUAAUGAAAAUGAGAAGCCUUUUUAUAGGCUGGAGAUUACAAGAGUUGUUAAACUAACUUGGGGUUGAGUUAGUUUACUUAUAACUAACUCAAGAUACAAAAUUGUUAAUUCAAAUAACUAAUCCUAAACUAUAAAAAUGGUAAUUCAAACACCUCCUCUAGGAUAAAACUCAAGAAACAUAAAGAAGGGGGAUGUUCUACAUUAGCUUUUGUCAAGGCUUUAGCCAAAAUUUUAUUUAUCAACUGUGGGGGAGGAUUUGAGAGCUCCCCAAUCUCUACACACUUCUCUAAUGAGAGUCUAUACCAAAAUCAUAUGUCCAAAAAGAUACCCAUACCCUCCCACUCAAGAAACUUAAGUAAUUGCUUAGAGAAAUAACAAAAUACUUGGCCCCACUCUAACAAACACAUUCCUAAGGGCCCACACAAAUAGAAAAAUAUCAACUAACUCUCAAUCAUUCUUUCUUCUCCUAUUCUUGUCUCUACGGGAAUACACCUUUACUAUGGGAGGUCUAUCAUUACCCGCCCCCAAAUAGCCACCUUGUCCUCAAGGUGGAAUUCAGGAAACUGUUUCUUGAAUAAGAGCAGCUUGUUCCCACGUUGCACUUUCAAGUGUCCCCUCACUCCAACGGAUCAAAACUUCUAAGUUGUCCUCCUUUUCUAUUGUUUUGCGAACUCCCAAUACUUCUACCGGAGACACUUGCAUAGACAAAUCAGCAGCCAAAUCUUUUGAAAUUGGGAAUAAUGGCCUGUUUGAACCCACGACCUUGCGAAGAACAGAAACAUGAAAGACCGGGUGUAUAAGCGAUUCCUUGGGAAGGGCCAAACGGUAUGCAACGAAACGAAUUCGUGCCACGAUCAUAAAUGAACCAAUGAAUCUUGGGGCCAAUUUGGAGUGCUUAAAACGGCUGAGAGAGGACUGUCGGUAAGGGCGUAACUUCACAUAAACCCAAUCAUGAACCUCAAACUGCACCUCCCGUCUUUUAGCAUUAGCAUAUUUGACCAUUCGCUGCUGUGCUUUCAGUAAAUUGGCCUUCAAAACGCCCAAAAUUUCAUCUCUUUCUUUCAUCAAAUGGUCUAACUUCAUCAUUCACCCGGCUCGAGCCCUUCACAUAUGGUAAUAUAGAGGGGGGUGGUCGCCCAUAGAGGGCCUCGAAGGGGUCAUCAAUGUGGCUGUACGGACUGUUGUAUUAUAGCUUAAUUCAGCCCAAGCUAGCCAUUUAACCCAUUGUUUAGGUGUGUUCAUAGAAAAACACCCUAGAUACGUCUCCACCCCUCGAUUGACAACUUCCGUUUGACCAUCUGUUUGGGGGUGGUAAGUGGUGCUUCGUCUCAACUGAGUUUCCAACAACCUCCACAACUCUUCCCAUAAUAGACUUGUGAAAAUACGAUCACGAUCCGACACUAUACUUCAGGGCAUCCAUGCAAACGAAUAAUCUCUCGCAUAAAAACAGCAGCAACCACUUUUGCACCAAAUGGAUGUUUCAAGGGGAUGAAAUGUGCAUACUUGGAAAGAAGAUCCGCAACUACCAAUAUAACAUCAUAACCCUCGGAUUUGGGGAGGCCCUCAAUAAAAUCCAUACUAAUAUCUUCCCACACACGGUCCGGAAUGGGUAAUGCUUGAAGGAAACCAGCCGGAGUUAAAGACAAGUAUUUGGCUUGCUGACACACGGAACAUUCAGCAACAUAGGUGCGGAUAUGGGCUGUCAUACCUCGCCAAUAUACCUCCCUUGUUAGACUUUGAUAUGUUUUCAAUGCACCAUGAUGUCCCCCUAUCUGGCUGUUAUGGAAUUCAGCUAAUAAUAAAGUAAUAUUAGGUGAAUCCUCCUCCUUGUAGCGAAUAUCCCUCUGGAGCUUGUUGUCCAUUUAUCAAGGAUAGUCGAAUAUUGUUAAGAGAUUCAUUUCCAGCCACUUGAUCGAUGAAAACUGAAGGGUUUAGCCGCCCACAAUACUUACGAGGCCCAAUUCAAAUACGGUGGUAAUCUCUAUAAGGCAUCGGCCGCUUUGUUUUCCAAUCCUUUCUUGUACUCAAUCACAAAAUCAUACCCCAAUAGUUUAGCGAUCCAUCUCUGAUAUUCUCCCCCGAUAGCCCGUUGUUCAAGAAGAAACUUCAAACUUUUCUGAUCUGUACGCACCACAAAAGGCUUACCCAAUAGAUAUGGUCGCCAUUUUUUAACAGCCAGCACUAUUGCCAUAAGCUCCCGUUCAUAAACAGCCUUAAACCUAUGGGUAAUAGGUAAAGCUUGACUGAAAAAGGCCACUGGUCGUUGAUUUUGCAUUAGGACAGCCCCAAUACCCACACCCGAAGCAUCAGUUUCCAGCACAAAACUUUGUGAAAAAUCAGGAAUACCUAGCACUGGGACAGACAUCAUUGCUGACUUUUAACUGCUGAAAUGCGUUCUCGGUCGUUUCAUUCCACUUAAAGUUACCUUUUUUUAACAGUUGUGUCAAGGGGGGCAGCACAAUAGAACCGUAGUUUGCAACGAAUUUCCGAUAAUACCCCGUUAGCCCCAAAAAAACCCACCUAGCUCCUUCACGUUCUUGGGUGCUGGCCAUUUAACCAUCGCUUCUAUUUUUGUUGGAUCCGCUGCCACCCCCUCUGAAGAAAUAACAUGGCCCAAGUAUUCAAUUUUGUCAACCGCAAAUUGGCAUUUUUUAAAGUUGGCUACCAGUUGAUGAGCUACUAGAGUUUCCAAAACCAUUGCCAAUUGGUGCAAAUGCUCGUCCAAGGACUUGCUGUAAAUUAAGAUGUCAUCAAAGAAAACCAAAACAAACUUGCGUAAAUAUGGGCGAAGAACAUCACUCAUGAUUGAUUGGAAUGUUGCCGGAGCGUUUCAACCCAAACAGCAUCACAAGGAAUUCAUAGGGCCCCUCGUGGGUUCGAAACGCUGUUUUGUGAACAUCGGCUGCCCGCACAAAUAGAAAAAUAUCAGAAUGCUUGUUUUUCUUUAUUUAUUUUGUAAUGUCAAUUAAUUGGCUAAUUAUUUAUCAGAAUGCUUGUUGAUAUCGCUGCAUGUUUUAUUUUGUAAUGUUUGUACUUUUUAGUUGUGAUUUGUGAAUAUGCUAGGAUUGAUUUGAUUUGCUCUUCUGACUGUUAAGAUCGGAAUGAUGUUGCUCAUCUGAAAGUAGGCAGCAUCAUGUGCUUGAAGACUUGUAGAGUAUGGAGAGUGAAUGGUCAAAUUUGAGGAAUCAUAUCUGCUGGCUUUGUAGUCCAAACAGGUUGUCUGGCUAACUUUCUUUUUCUCAUUUUCAACCAAUUAGGAUAGCUGUCAUGUUUUUUGAAUUCCUUGCCAUUCUUGAGUAGUAACUUGGCAUUUAUUUAUUAAAAGGUUUUAAUUAAGAUUGUGGUGUUCAUAACUUUGUAGUCACACUAAAUAACUUAAAAGAGUUAGUUUGACAGUUGACAAACAUGAUAGUAAUGUGAUAGUGAGUGCAAGGGUAAAAAGAGUUGCUUCUGUUGGGUUAAAGUGAUGUUUGUGUUUUUUAGUGUGAUGUGUUUUGUUUUCAAGUUCGUUAGUAGACGUAUUACUUAAUUGAAAAUUUUGAUACCAUAGCCAGUGUAGGGGAAGAUGAAUGGAGGGUGCUAUUAGACUAGUUAAGACUUAUAUGUAUCCUAAUUUUAGUAAUAUAUAAAAUUGAGAGAAUUUCCUUUGAUUUUCAGGAACAAGGAUGAAUAAUCAAUGAAAAAGGAAUGAAAAGGUUUAUCCAUGCAAGCUUCAAACAAAAGUCAAGGAUGUCGAUCCUUCCAGGGGAGUCCAAAGUUCCCCCCUUAUUUUUCUCCAUUUACUUUGAUUUUCAAAAGCUUUUAGGACAGAAAAAGCAAUUUUUUGAGUGGGUGUGGGUAAUAGCUUGCUUAGCUUGCAUGUUUAGUGUAAACUUGGGGGUUCAAAUUUUGCCCAAAUUUCAAAAUUUUUCAGAAUUCUUUCCAUACAAUAAUGAGCAUUAGCUUAAUUAGAUCUUGCAUAAAAAGCAUGAUUGGCAACCCUUGAGCACUGAGCUCGGGUUUAUGAUGUGAAAUUCUGAAUUUUGAUGAGUAUAUGUGCUGAAAUUUGAGCAUAAGCUGCUGUCUUUUUUGUUUUAAGCUCCUUUUAGCUAUUUCUUAUUGAGAUGUGAAUGCAUGAUUGAGAAAAUGGUAUGUGUGUUGUGAAUGCUUGAUUGCAUGUAUAAUAAAUAAGUGCAUGGAUACUUUUCUAGCUUUGUCUUCCUUUGUUGCUUUGUCGUGACUUACCUAUGAUGCACUUAGUCCAAACCUAGCCUAGAUAGAGUAAAAAAGGAUAGGAGGCACUCUUUAGAAACUGGGAUGGUUUUAACAAAUUUGUCUUGUCAAACAUGAGUUAGAAGCCUCUUGUCUAGCCACAAUGAACUAAAUCCCUUUAGAAAAGGGUCGACAUUAACAAAACUUAUUGUCACUUCGAAGGGAGCAAUCAAACUUAAUUAGUAACUAAAUGUAGAACCAUAGAAAGGUUAGCCCACCGGUUCUAGCAAGGCCUAGUUACCACAUUGCAUACCAAAGAAAGAAAAGAGAGACUUGACAAUGCAAAACAUAAAACAGUAAGACAAUCAAGAGCUAUAAAAAAAGUCAAACAAAAGUAGAAAAAGUCCAUAAAAAAUGGGGGAAAACUUCACUUUUGGCCUAACCAAAACCAGACUACCUACUCUUAGCGUUCUAAACAUAGCAUCGAGUUUGAUGAGGGCUUUGAAAAGAGGAGGAAUCCUCCCCGAUCCACAUUAGGGGGAAAACAAGGCUUGUUGUCACUUCGAAGGGAGCAGUCAAACUUAGCAUUGAGUUUGACGAGGGCUUUGAAAAGAGGAGGAAUCCUCCCCGUUCCAUAGUAGGGGGAAAACGAGGCUUGUUGUCACUCCGAAGGGAGCAGUCAAACUUAGAAACUAAGUUUAGAACCAUAGAAAGGUUAGCCCACCGGUUCUAGCAAGACCUUGUUACCACAUUGCAUACCAAAGAAACAAAAGAGAGACUUGCAAAUGCAAAACGUAAAAAGGUUAGACAAUCAAGAGCUAUAAAAAAACAAACAACACAUGCAAUAUACAUUAGAAAAAUCCCAUAAAAAAACAAAGAGCCAACUUGGUUCGGUCAGGUAGAAUGUGUUGAGUUCCCUAACUAUCAGAGCUUUUAGCAGAAAACUUUACUUUUGGCCUAACCAAAACCAAACCACCUACUCUUAGCGUUCUAAACUUAGCAUCGAGUUUGAUGAGGGCUUUGAAAAGAGGAGGAAUCCUCCCCGAUCCACAUUAGGGGGAAAACAAGGCUUGUUGUCACUCCGAAGGGAGCAGUCAAACUUAGCAUUGAGUUUGACGAGGGCUUUGAAAAGAGGAGGAAUCCUCCCCGUUCCAUAGUAGGGGGAAAACGAGGCUUGUUGUCACUCCGAAGGGAGCAGUCAAACUUAGAAACUAAGUUUAGAACCAUAGAAAGGUUAGCCCACCGGUUCUAGCAAGACCUUGUUACCACAUUGCAUACCAAAGAAACAAAAGAGAGACUUGCAAAUGCAAAACGUAAAAAGGUUAGACAAUCAAGAGCUAUAAAAAAACAACAACACAUGCAAUAUACAUUAGAAAAAUCCCAUAAAAAAACAAAGAGCCAACUUGGUUCGGUCAGGUAGAAUGUGUUGAGUUCCCUAACUAUCAGAGCUUUUAGCAGAAAACUUUACUUUUGGCCUAACCAAAACCAAACCACCUACUCUUAGCGUUCUAAACUUAGCAUCGAGUUUGAUGAGGGCUUUGAAAAGAGGAGGAAUCCUCCCCGAUCCACAUUAGGGGGAAAACAAGGCUUGUUGUCACUCCGAAGGGAGCAGUCAAACUUAGCAUUGUGUUUGACGAGGGCUUUGAAAAGAGGAGGAAUCCUCCCCGUUCCAUAGUAGGGGAAAACGAGGCUUGUUAUGAGGAUUUUCCCUUGGGAAAUUAUUAUAAAAGUGACAAAUGAAAAUAUUGAUUGGUUUCUGAACCACUGUGGUGCCCUUGUUUGUUAUUUUCCCUUAUGUUGCUUUAUGCUUGGUUUUCUAAUUGAUAAUAUCAUCUUAAAGUGUUCUAAUUGAUAGCACAUAUCUCUUAGUGUUAGUACUUUCUUACCUUUCUCUCUCUUACAUAUAUAGGGGAUAUGUUGAGCAUUUUCGCUAGCAAGGAUUAUGUACUUAACAAGGCCUUAGUGGAUUAGAGAGUUAAGAAAUUUGCAUAUGCUUGCAUCCAGACUGUACACCAUAAUAGGUAAUUAGUUUUUUCCAUUUCAACAUUCCUUAUUAAAAACUUAUCCUUUUUAACGUUUUGAAUGGAAGAACAGAUGUUUGAUCUAUCAUUGUUGAUUUUGUUGGCUUUCUAUGCUAUGAUCCUUUAAUUGUAUAUGAUAUAUUUCUUUUGUUGAAAAGUGAUAUAUUUCUUAGAUUUUGUUCAGAUAUAUAUAACUGACAUAAAGGUUUUUUUACCUUCAGCUAACGAAUUCAGACUAAUCUUAUUUAUAUAUAUGAUAAGUUGUCUUUAUUUUUCCUCUGAAUUAUUCUUACUUGAUGUUGUUCUUGAUAGAAACCAAUUGAGGAAUCAACUUUUGGCUGCACCUGUGAACUCUAACACACCUGCAACUCUAUUGUUAGACACAAUUAUUUUCUUAUUACAACCUGAACUCCCAUGGGUUUGUAAAAUUGUUGGUUACUUCCUGGAAAGAAAUGCAUAUGCGUUGAUUAGGGAUAUCACUUUGACAGGGAAGGUAUAAAUGUACUUCCUUUUUCUUCUACUUGCAAGUGGUUUUUUUUAUAGAUAUUCUGUUUUGCCGUGGAUUAUCCUCUGCAGGUGUUUUCAGAGAACUAAUUCACACUCAAACUAUUGCAGGAAAGUGCAGAUUCACAUUCCAAGAGUUCAUUGGCUUCUCUAGAACAUCUGCUGUCUCUUUUGAGUUCUCAUGUUGGUAAGAAGCCAUGUUGUUGCCCACGUGUUGAUCCCAAUUGGAGUUUCUCCUCUCAAAUUCUUACUCUUCCUUUACUGUGGCGGACAUUCACAUUUCACACCUCUCUCUACCCAAUGGACAAAGUUGCAUGUGUCAUCCUCUACUAGGUUUGUGUACCUUGCUGUUUGGAUAUAAUGGCGUUAGUAAUGGUUUAAAGGUCAUGUUUUCUCAAUAACGAGAAACAUAACAUGCAUGUACUUCAUUUAAAAAAGAAAAAAAAAACUCUAUAGAUUUUUUUUGAAAAGAUCUUUUUAAGUACAACUUGGUGUGGGACAUAAAAAAUUAUGACUAUUCUAGCAUACAGAAUGGAGUUAGUUCCAGUACUCUGGAGUUUUAUUAAAAAGUGCCACGAGAAUAAAAAAUGGUCAUCCUUUUCAGAGAAAUUGGCAUAUUUAUCAGGAGAUGCACCUGGUUGGCUAUUACCUUUGGCUGUUUUUUGUCCUGUGUACAAGUAAGAUUAUCUUCUUUAUUCCUGUUCCUCUACUUUUGAAUUUCGCUUUAAUUCCUCAUCUGAUGUUAUAUAAUUAUAUGGUAUGUUAUAAGAUUCGGCAUGUCCUGAUCACUUCUUUCCUUAUCAAUCAGGCACAUGCUCAUAAUAAUUGACAAUGAGGAGUUUUAUGAGCAGGAGAAGCCACUAUCGUUAAAGGACAUCAGAUGCCUGAUCGUUAUUUUAAGACAGGUGAGCUCUUUAAUUCCAUCAUAUGUCCAAAAAGAUACCCAUACCCUCCCACUCAAGACACUUAAGUAAUUGCUCAGAGAAAUAACAAAAUACUUGGCCCCACUCUAACAAACACAUUCCUAAGGGCCCACACAAAUAGAAAAAUACCAACUAACUCUCAAUCAUUCUUUCUUCUUCCUAUUCUUGUCUCUACGGGAAUACACGUUUACUAUGGGAGGUCUAUCAUUAUCCGCCCCCCAAAGAGCCACCUUGUCCUCAAGGUGGAAUUCAGGAAACUGUUCUUGAAUAAGAGCAGCUUGUUCCCAUGUUGCACUUUCAAGUGUCCCCUCACUCCAACGGAUCAAAACUUCUAAGUUGUCCUCCUUUUCUAUUGUUUUGCGAACUCCCAAUACUUCUACUGGAGACACUUGCAUAGACAAAUCAGCAGCCAAAUCUUUUGGAAUUGGGAAUAAUGGCCUGUUUGAACUCACGACCUUGCGAAGAACAGAAACAUGAAAGAUGGGUGUAUAAGCGAUUCCUUGGGAAAGGCCAAACGGUAUGCAACGAAACCAAUUCGUGCCACGAUCAUAAAUGGACCAAUGAAUCUUGGGGCCAAUUUGGGGUGCUUAAAACGGCUGAGAGAGGACUGUUGGUAAGGGCGUAACUUCACAUAAACCCAAUCAUGAACCUUAAACAGAACCUCCUGUCUUUUAGCAUUAGCAUAUUUGACCAUUCGCUGCUGUGCUUUCAGUAAAUUGGCCUUCAAAACACCCAAAAUUUCAUCUCUUUCUUUCAUCAAAUGGUCUACUUCAUUCACCCGACUCGAGCCCUUCACAUACGGUAAUAUAGAGGGGGUGGUCGCCCAUAGAGGGCCUCGAAGGGGGUCAUCAAUAUGGCUGUACGGACUGUUGUAUUAUAGCUCAAUUCAACCCAAGCUAGCCAUUUAACCCACUGUUUAGGUGUGUUCAUAGCAAAACACCGUAGAUACGUCUCCACCCCUCGAUUGACAACUUCUGUUUGACCAUCCGUUUGGGGGUGGUAAGUGGUGCUUCGUCUCAACUGAGUUUCCAACAACCUCCACAACUCUUCCCAGAAUAGACUUGUGAAAAUACGAUCACGAUCCGACACUAUACUUCGGGGGCAUCCAUGCAAACGAAUAAUCUCUCGCAUAAAAACAGCAGCAACCACUUUUGCACCAAAUGGAUGUUUCAAGGGAAUGAAAUGUGCAUACUUGGAAAGACGAUCCGCAACUACCAAUAUAACAUCAUAACGCUCGGAUUUGUGGAGGCCCUCAAUAAAAUCCAUACUAAUAUCUUCCCACACACGGUCCGGAAUGGGUAAUGCUUGAAGGAAACCAGCCGGAGUUAAAGACAAGUAUUUGGCUUGCUGACACACGGAACAUUCAGCAACAUAGGUGCGGAUAUGGGCUUUCAUACCUCGCCAAUAGACCUCCCUUGCUAGCCUUUGAUAUGUUUUCAAUGCACCAUGAUGUCCCCCUAUCGGGCUGUUAUGGAACUCAGCUAAUAAUAAAGUAAUAUCAGGUGAAUCCUCCUCCUUGUAGCAAAUAUCCAUCUGGAGCUGGCUGUCCAUUUAUCAAGGACAAUCGAAUAUUGUUAAGAGAUUCAUUUCCAGCCACUUGAUCGAUGAAAACCGAAGGGUUUAGCCCGCCCACAAUACUUACGAGGCCCAAUUCAAAUACCGGUGGUAAUCUCUAUAAGGCAUCGGCCGCUUUGUUUUCCAAUCCUUUCUUGUACUCAAUCACAAAAUCAUACCCCAAUAGUUUAGCGAUCCAUCUCUGAUAUUCUCCCCCGAUAGCCCGUUGUUCAAGAAGAAACUUCAAACUUUUCUGAUCUGUACGCACCACAAAAAGGCUUACCCAAUAGAUAUGGUCGCCAUUUUUGAACAGCCAGCACUAUUGCCAUAAGCUCCCGUUCAUAAACAGCCUUAAACCUAUGGGUAAUAGGUAAAGCUUGACUGAAAAAGGCCACUGGUCGUUGAUUUUGCAUUAGGACAGCCCCAAUACCCACACCCGAAGCAUCAGUUUCCAGCACAAAACUUUGUGAAAAAUCAGGAAUACCUAGCAUCGGGACAGACAUCAUUGCUGACUUUUAACUGCUGAAAUGCGUUCUCGGUCGUCUCAUUCCACUUAAAGUUACCUUUUUUUAACAGUUGUGUCAAGGGGGGCAGCACAAUAGAACCGUAGUUUGCAACGAAUUUCCGAUAAUACCCCGUUAGCCCCAAAAAACCCACCUAGCUCCUUCACGUUCUUGGGUGCUGGCCAUUUAACCAUCGCUUCUAUUUUUGUUGGAUCCGCUGCCACCCCCUCUGAAGAAAUAACAUGGCCCAAGUAUUCAAUUUUGUCAACCGCAAAUUGGCAUUUUUUAAAGUUGGCUACCAGUUGAUGAGCUACUAGAGUUUCCAAAACCAUUGCCAAUUGGUGCAAAUGCUCGUCCAAGGACUUGCUGUAAAUUAAGAUGUCAUCAAAGAAAACCAAAACAAACUUGCGUAAAUAUGGGCGAAGAACACUCAUGAUUGAUUGGAAUGUUGCCGGAGCGUUUCAACCCAGACAGCAUCACAAGGAAUUCAUAGGGCCCCUCGUGGGUUCGAAACGCUGUUUUGUGAACAUCGGCUGCCCGCACCCGAAUUUGCUGAUACCUAACUUUAAAUCAAUUUUGGAGAAUAUGGUUGCCCCAAAUAAUUUGUCUAACAGUUCAUCAACAACAGGAAUUAGAUACUUAUCUGGUAUAGUGGCAAGAUUCAGUGCUCGGUAAUCAACGCAAAAUCGCCAGCUACCAUCCUUUUUCUUAACAAGGAGCACUGAAAAGGCACUUUUGCUUGGCUGAAUUAUUCCGGCUAGCAGCAUUUCCUUAACUAGUUUCUCUAUCUCAUCUUUCUAAAAUUGGGGAUAACGAUACGGGCGCACGUUCACUGCACGAGCCCCUGGUUCUAAUUCAAUAGCAUGAUCAUGAUCACGAGGUGGGGGUAAUUGAUUGCUUGGUUCAAACACAACGCUAAAGGACUGAAGAACUUUUUGAAUUUCUGGUUGUAGUUUACUCAAGUAGUCUGCUAUGUGUUCCCUUGCUUCGCCCACUCCCCACUGUACAACUGCACUUAAUUCGAUUGACACGCCUUGAUCUUCCUUCUCAAAGGUUUUCAUUAUCGAUUUCAGUGACACUUGGGAUCUUACUAAACUUCUAUCCCCUUGAAGAAUUACCACCCAUUCACCCAGUGAGAAUUCCAUCUCCGACAACUUGUAAUAAAAAAUUACUUUCCCUAACAUUUCCAACCAAGUAACUCCUAAUAUAACGUCGGCACUCCCGAGUGGUAGAGGGAGAAAAUCGUGAGUGAUUGAUAAAUUGGCGAUUGUCAGGUUUACAUCCUUACACACACUGGUUGCUUGGACUACGCCUCCGGUUCCCAGAACAACCCCAUAUGCAUCCAUGGUUUCUACUGAAAUUUUUAGCUCUUUGACUACCUCUUCUGCAAUAAAAUUGUGCGUGGCUCCCCAUCGAUCAGCACCACAACCUCACGUCCCCUUAUUUCUCCUUUAAUUUUUAUGGUUUUCGGCGAAUUGAAACCUACCAAUGAAUUUAUCGACAGAUUCACUAUUUUUGUAUUGACUUCCUCAUUCCCGUUGGUUUCGAUUUCUUCCCCACUUGAUCGGUUUUGUCACUUAAGUCUUCCCCUUCUUGUACAGCAAUGAUGUUCAAUUCACGUCUUUUGCAGCGGUGCCCUAGACUAAACUUCUCGUCACAUCUAAAACACAAACCUUUUUCCUUCUUAAUCCGCACUUCGUUGUCAGUCAUUCGGCGGUAUGGUUGAGACAACGUACUCUUCGCGCCCGAUUCCUGCGAUGAAGUAAUCGUCGUGGACGAGUACGACGAAUUUCGGCUAGGGUUAAUCGUAAUCGUUCGUGAUGUAGCGACCCGAUCUGAGGCCUUUGACCCAGUUUGACUUCUCGACCUGCUUGGCCCACUAUUUGACAUUUUAAUUGAUAAAUUAGGGUUUCCACUUGCCCCAUGAAUUCUCUUCAAUUGAACCACUCGAUCAUCUUCUCAAUUAUUUGGGCCAUUAACAUUUUAGCCUCUAGGCCCACUGGAUUCAAUUUUCAGAUCUCACUUUGAAUCUCUUCCUUCAGCCCACACACAAACUUACUUUCUAGGGCUGCAUCACUCAUAUCUUUAAGGCCGACCGAAAAUUGUUCAAAUCGCCGCGGUAAUCCCUCACGGUGGUCUCCUGCUGUAAUUUCAUCAACCUUGCGUGUUUAUCUCCUUGGUCGGACGCUUUGAAUCUGGCCCACAGAAGCUAUCGGAAUUCUGUCCAGCUGCCGAUUUUCUUUCUAUCCUCCUUCCAUUGAUACCAGUCCAAAGCUUCCCCCUCCAAGCACAGGACCGCCGCAUCCAACUUAUCUCUCUCCGUCAGAUAUUCACCACAAAAUAGCGCUCCACACGUUGUAGCUAUCCAUCCACAUUCUCUUCUUCCUCCCCUUUAAAUAUCGACACCUCCAGUUUUCGUAGCCUCAUGUCAAAAAGGGGUAUCUCACGAUAUUUGGUGCACAUGGUACUCCAACUCCCUCAUCCACCACCGGGUUAGUUUUUUGUUCACCUUCUUGAACUUGUUCCUCAUUCAUUAUUCCCUUUCCCUUGUCCGUAAUCAUUCUUUCACUAGAUGUGGAUCCUUUUGAAGCACUUCCCAUCACUCCCAUCCUGUGUAUUAACAAUUUCAUUCCUCACUCAAUUUUUACAGAUUAUCCUCAAUCUUUUGUUCAGCCAUUGUACUUCGAACUUCUGCUUCCGCAAAUUGUUUUUUCAUCUUCCUUUCAAAUGCUAAUUGUCGUUCUUCUACUUGUAAAAAUUUUGCUUCUACUCUACUUUCCAUUUCAGUCGUCCCUGUGGUUACUCCCUCUUAACCUUCUUCCAGUUCAACUAUCCUAGCUUCCAUCUUACCAACCAUACCAGGAAAGAUGGCUCUGAUACCAAAAUUGUUAAGGCUUUAGCCACAAUUUUAUUUAUCAACUGUGGGGAAGGAUUUGAGAGCUCCCCAGUUUCUCCACGCUCUAAUGAGAGUCUAUACCAAAAUCAUAUGUCCAAAAAGAUACCCAUACCCUCCCACGCAAGACACUUAAGUAAUUGCUCAGAGAAAUAAUAAAAUACUUGGCCCCACUCUAACAAACACAUUCCUAAGGGCCCACACAAAUGGAAAAAUACCAACUAACUCUCAAUCAUUCUUUCUUCUUCCUAUUCUUGUCCCUACGGGAAUACACCUUUACUAUGGGAGGUCUAUCAGCUUUCUAUAUAAUUUAUGAGAGUUUAAUAUUGCAUGGUUGCAUGGUAUAAAGAUGGAAUAAUAUUUAACCCAACAUUGAAUAUUUCCAAUUUUAUCAUCACAACAUGUAUAACUAUCUAAAUGACUUGCCAUCCUUGGAUCCUGAAUUGUAUCGCCACCUUAUUUUCUUAAAGGUGUGUAUUCCCUGGUAUCACUUUUAGCUGAUACCACACUUAGCCUGUUCAUCAAUGAUCUAGAUCAAUCUAGUAUCCUGGUAGAAUCUUUUUCUCACUUCUUAUCUUAAAUUAUGAAGGUGACAUUCCUGAACUAGAGCUAUAUUUUGUUAUUAUAAACAAUGAAUAUGGAAAGCAAAUUGAAGAAGAGCUACUUCCUGGAGGAAAAAACCAUCGUGUCACCUGUGAAAAUGUCAUCACAUUCAUUCAUCUUGUUGCCAAUCAUCGUUUGAACUUUCAGCAUAGUUUGUCCCUUGUUUAUCCAAUGUGUCUCCCUACUCCAAUGUUGAUUGAAAACAUGUCCUCCUCAGAUACGACAGCAAAGUUCUCAUUUUUUGAGAGGGAUUCAGCAGCUUAUACAGAAAGAAUGGAUCAACAUGUUCAAUGAGCAUGAAUUCCAGGUAUCACUAUACCGUUUGAAGAAAUUCUACCAGAGCUAAAUAGCGAUCAAAUCGGUUACGGUAUUCUUCUACAUUCGUUUUCUGUUUGAUUGAGAAAAAUCUUCCAACCAAAGUUCCUUCUCGAAUUGAUCAAAACUGUACAAGCAUUCGUUCUUUCAGGGCAGCCCAAUUCUUAAAAACUUCCAACUCUUCUUGUGCUUGGUACCAAUCCAAUGCCAGAUCAUCAAAACUAGUAACGCCUGUGGUUAAUUUCUCUGAAUCGGUAAGAUCAUGUAUCUUAAAGAAGCGAUAGGCUCUAAAUGUGAGACUCAUUUCUAAUUUGAGUAAUGAACUAAAAUUUGGCUAGGUAUUAAGAAUUUGGCAUUUGAAUAAAUCCAUGAAAAGGAUUAAGUGAUAAAAAAUUUUAUGGUUAAGUAUACGUUAUUGCGCUUCAGUGGGUAGUUCGCGAAGGAAGUUGUGCGACUCAUUUCUAAUUCCAGUAAGGAAGUAAAAUUCGGCUAAGAAUUAAGAAGUUGGUGUUCGAAUAAAUCCAUGGAAAGAUUAAGUGAUAUGAUCUUUUACGGUUAAGUAUACUUUUAAGGUUAUGACUUAUGAACUUGUAUUGAAUAUUUGUUAGGUUGUUUUGAAAGUUCAAGUGAAACUUAGACACGUUUUGAACUCAUUUUAGGUUGGUUUGAAACUAAGUUUUACACACAUUUGAUUGACAUGUUGGGUCUUGAAGUACUUUUUUCAUACUUUUUGAAAUUUUGGUAGGUUGUGAGUUACAAACUUACACUUAAGCAUUGCUUGGUCGUUUUGAAAAUUCAAGUGAUACUUACACACGUUUUGAAUACAUUUUAGGUUAGAUUGAGUUUGUUUGCACUUGGUUGUCAUUUUUUGUCUUGAAAUGCUUUUUUCAACCUUUUGGUAGAUUUAUGAGUUACGAACUUACACUUAGGAUUUGCUAGGGUCAUUUUGAAAACUCAAGUAAUACCUAGACACGUUUUGAGCACGUUUUAGGUUGGUUUGAAACUAAGUUUGUUGCACUUACACACUUGGUUGCCAUUUAGGGUCUUGUAGUGCUUUUUUCACACUAUUUGAACUUUUUUCAUAAGUCAUGAGUUAUGAAUCUACAAGUAAGCUGUUUUAGGUCGUUUUGAAAGUUCAAGUGAAACUUAGACACGUUUUGAACUCGUUUUAGGUUGGUUUGAAACUAAGUUUAAAACACAUUUGAUUGACAUGUUGGGUCUUGAAGUACUUUUUUCACACAUUUUGAAAUUUUGGUAGGUUGUGAAUUACAAACUUACACUUAAGCAUUGCUUGGUCGUUUUGAAAAUUCAAGUGAUACUUACACAUGUUUUGAAUUCAUUUUAGGUUAGAUUGAGUUUGUUGCACUUACACACAUGGUUGUCAUUUUUGGUCUUGAAAUGCUUUUUUCAACCUUUUUGGUAAGAUUAUGAGUUACGAACUUACACUUAGGAUUUGCUAGGUCGUUUUGAAAACUCAAGUAAUACCUAGACACGUUUUGAGCACGUUUUAGGUUGGUUUGAAUUAAGUUUGUUGCACUUACACACUUGGUUGCCAUUUUGGGUCUUGUAGUGCUUUUUUCACAAUGUUUGAACUUUUUUCGUAGGUUAUGAGUUACGAACCUACACGUAUGCUGUUUUAGGUCGUUUUGAAAGUUCAAGUGAAACUUAGACACGUUUUGAGCAUGUUUUAGGUCGUUUUGAGUAAAUUGUAUGUAUGUUGUGAUUGUUUGAUUGCAUGUAUGAUACCUUAUUGAGAUGUGAAUGCUUGAUUGAGAAGCUGAUAGAACACCAAGUAAUGGUUCUUAUUUGUUCAUUAAGCAACCAAACUAUUACAGAAUACAAUACUCAAACCAGUCUUGAAAACACAGAACAAAUAAGUACUAUUACAGACAAUAACCAAGUACAAAAUAAAACAUUCAAACAUCAAAAGUAGUUUACGAUAAUGGAAAACACUUUCUAAGAUUAAAGUAACUGAACAACUUCUGUAAUUCUGCUCUCCAGAAAAUACAGCCCCUCCACUUCCAGAAACUGAUUAACCAACCCCCAUCUUUCCUUCCAUCUCUCCCUUUUAACCUCCCCCCUGUAACUAACUGUUGUCCCCACUAAGGUGGUUUCCACUUCCUCCAAUUCCAUCACCUGUGCACGUGCAAUUCCACUUGUCUUUCUUCUGCUAUAUUGUAUUGCAAUUGGUGGUCUAUCAUUACUCUCCCUCUCCAAAGACACCUUGUUCUCAAGGUGGGAAAUGAGGAAGCUUUUGUGUAAAAUCAUCACAAUUCUCCCAUGUAGCCUCAUGAGGUGGUAUUCCUUUCCAACUAACAAGCACUUCCCACUUCUUUGUUGCUGGAUUUUUAGGAUAGCCAAAAUUGUCUGCUGGUAGUAACUCUUGAAAUGUAGGAACAUCAUCAAUUCCAUAUAGUUCGGUAAAUGUCAUUCCUCCCUCCAUAGCUCGACAUUUUGUCAAGAAACCGUAAUCAGAUGGUGUCCAUGUCUCCAUCAUGUGUUACAGACUCACUCUAGUCUUUGUCAAACUCGGGUCACCCCUUAUAACAACAUUCUUUUCAUUUUGUAUGAAAGUUAAAGUGAGUUUCCGCCAAUCCACUUCAGUUACCCCAACGUGUGCAGCCAUUGCAUUCCAAGGAUGACAUCAUGAUAGAACACUGAUGUAGUGUUUCUAUUAUAUUGACAAUUCAAACACAACUUACAACAUAAGCAAACCGUGAACCUCAGAAAAUGAGUCACGUUACAUAUAAUUCACAAACAUCAAACAAAGAAAACCUCCUAAUCCAAAAUUCCGAACAACAAAAUACUAAUAAGCAAACCAGAAUAUAGAACACCAAUCUUCUGCUUCCCCUGUCUUUCAAGGAGUAUUGCAGACCUUUUCCUUCACUCCGAAAACUCACUUUAACAAAGAGGCAGCCACAUUUUCAGGUACAGAAAAUAAAGUAGGUAGUAUGUAGGAAGGCUAACCAGAACUGAGUUGCAUAAGGUUUGUCUUCCGCCUCUAGAGAUGUUAUAUCUUUUCCACCUUUCAAGUUUCUUGUGAAUUCGAUCAAUGACUGGUUGCCAAAAAGACUUUUGUCGAGGGUAGCCUCCCAAAGGGAGACCUAAAUAUAUAAUCGGAAGCUGGAAUAAAAAGAGAAAGAGUAUCAUCGACAAAUUGAAGCAAAGGGAGGUGGAUCAAGUCUUUGCCAACAAGGAAACCUUCAAACUGGCUGUUAAUAUGAAGCUUGUUUAUGAUUUCUCCUAAAACCUCACUUACUAGGAGGAAUAAAAAGGGGGAGAGGGGGUCCCCUUGGCGGAUACCUCUAGAUGCUGUUAUCCGGCCUCUAGGCUUACCAUUGAUGAAGACUGAAUACUUUGGAUUUUUUAGGCAGCCCAUUAUCCAUGAUAUCCAUUUUGAACUAAACUUUUUCAAAGAUAAAUUUUUGUCUAAAAAAGUUCCAAUUCACCCUAUCGAAGGCUUUUUCCAAGUCAAGUUUUAAAAUUCAUCCUUUUUUUCCGUUUUGCCCUAUAAUCUUCCACGGCCUCGUUAGCAAUUAAUAUUGGGUUAAGAAUUUGCCUACCUUCAAUAAAGGCGCUUUGAGUGGGGCUUAUAAUUGCAUCCAUAACUUGUUUUAGACGUUCAGAUAAAACCUUUGCAACAACCUUGUAUGCUAACGUAGUAAGGCUGAUUGGACGGAAAUCCUUGACUAGAGUCACAUUCUCUUUUUUCUGCACUAAACAAAUGAAGUUUUCUUGGAUGCAAGCAUUUAAUCUUCCAUUUCUGUGGAAAUCAGACAUUAGUGAUUUGAAGAUAUCCUUGAAAAUAGACCAUUGGGUGAUUAGGAACUUCACUGUGAAGCCAUCCGGGCUCGGAGCUUUAUUGUUGCCAAGUGCCUUUAAUGCCUUAAAGAUCUCCUCCACUGAAAAUUGGGUAACAAGAGCCUCAUUCUGAAUUGAGGAAACACAAGACCAAUUACUGUUAAUAGGGAUGAAUCUGUCCCCCGGAAUUCUGGUAUAAAGUGACUCAAAAAAUUCCAGCACAAGCCUUUCAAUGUCGCGGAAUGAAGUCGAGACAACCCCAUCAUCAUUUUUUAAUUCAGUUAUGAGGUUCCUUCUUUUUUUCGCAUUUAGAAACUGGUGGAAGAAGCCCGUAUUCUCAUCACCGAAAGAAAGCCAAUUGAGUUUACUCUUCUGAAUAAAAUUACGCUCUUCGUUUUGAUAAAUACUAAGUAAUUCCGCUUGCAAAGCAGCUCUAGAAUUCAACUCUUCUUGAUUUAAUCCAAUCAACUCAGCCACAGAAUCAUAUUUUUCUAAUUUUGACAUCAAGGAUUUCUCUGUUUUUUUUUUACCUUAGCUUGCGCAGCAAUAUUCCAAGCUUUUACUGCCAAUUUAACUGAUCUCAACUGCUCAUGAAGAAUGAAACCAGCCCAUCCCUGGAAGUUAGAGUUGCUCACUGUUUCAACAAUAAUCUGAUUAGAAUCACUGGACACCAACCAGCUGUUACAAAACCGAAAAGGAGAGGGACCUCAAAGAAAAGAACCAGCCUCCAAGAAUAAAGGAAAGUGAUCCGAGAAGAUGCGUGCUUUUCGAGAAACCCGAGAAUUUUCAAAACAAACAUCCCACCUCUGAUUUAUGAAGAAUCUGUCUAAUAAUGAUCUUCAAGGAGAAUUACCGUCUCUAGACCAAGUGAACCUUCCAUUUUGCAAUGGAAUUUCCAUGAGAGAAACCAUGUGAAUAAACUUAUUGAAUAAUGACAUUCCUCUAGUACUUCUGCCAAAAGGAAAUCUUUCCCGGGCCCAACGAGUGAUAUUAAAAUCCCCACCUAUGCACCAGGCCACGGCCGAACAAUCAGCCAAGGAAGACAAUUCGGGCCAAACCAAUUUCCUUUCUCUGCAACCACAAGGGCCAUAGACAUUUGUGAUCCAACAAACCUUUUUGCACAAAGUGAGGCAUUUGAUUGACAAAGAGAGGCGUCUUUUAAUGACCUCUGUUACAGAUAUUUUACUGUUGUCCCACAUGGUAAGAAUUCCCCCAGAAGAUCCAACAGAAGCCACAUAAUCCCAGCCAAUAUCCUUAGAACUCCACAAUGAUUUUAUAAAAGCCGAGUUCAAGGUGUCCUUAGAUUCUUGAAUCAUGACUACAAUUGUUGAUGAAUUUUUUGAGUGUUGCACGUUUAGAUGAGUUGUAAUAUGCAUUAUGCAUAUAUGUGGUUCUGAGUUUGUAUAAAUAUUAUUUCUUAUAGUGUAUUUAGUUUCUUUAAAAUAAUAAUAAUAAUAAUAAUAAAUAUAAAAAAAAGUUUCUUUUACGAAAUUUUAUACAUUGUCCAACUUUUUACUGAAUCAAACUCCAAAAAUAUUGAAUCCAAAAAUAAUUAAAGAAAUUGUAAUGUAUAACCAAAGAACUUGUAUAUUUUGUAAAUACAACAUAGUUCUGAUUUUUUUUUUAUCUUUCACUUUUUUUUUGUCGUGAAAAAUUGUUUUAUAAAGGAUUAGGAGUUUAGUGAAAUAACUCUCAAAUUCCCUAAUGGAUAGCUAGUUUUAAUACUCCUAACGUAUGCAACUUUAGUGGAAUCUGGAUGGAUAUUAUUGGAAUAACUCCUAACGUCAAAUAAAAAGCCUACAUCAGAAACUUCUUUUUAAAGGAACAUGACUCUUUUAAUGGAUAAACAAGUCCUCUGGACGGGGUCCAUAUGAGAAAAGAAUUCUAGAAAGUUUCUUAUCAAUGAUCUUUGUCAAUAUUCUUCCUUUGCAAAAUGAACCAAAAAUCUUUGCAAUAUUCUUCGUACCUCCUACUCAUCCUCUAGACUUGUUUAUCCAUUGAACAAAAACAAAGGCUCCAUAAGAUAGGGUAUUUUUGGGAUAUUGCCUAAAAUCAAGCGAAAAUCUUCUAUAUAUUUUUUUGUGCCCAACUCUUCUAUCUUAGAUUUUUAUCUUUCUAUAUAUUCUCAUUUACAAAGAUCAAGCCUAGGUCUUGAACUUUUUCCAUGAGAAGUGGAACCCUCUAUUGAGGUGCUGAGAACGAUAAUGUACGAGUCAGUCUGUGAAAAACUCACAACUACUACGUGGGCUUCUUCAUCCUAAUCGAAUUUGCGGAAAUUCCAUCAUCUAUCCCAUGAAAGGGAAAUAGAAUUGAUUAUGUAUAAUAAUCAGUGACUUUGAAAGGAGUGCAAAAGAAAGGCAGAGGAGAAAAGGCGAGACCAAAAGCUUUACCGUCUUCUUUUGGAGCAGGAAGCCUCAUUCCUUCUUAUUUCCUUUUAUUCAUUCCCAGUUUCAGCUCUUCUUGCUAAGGAUGGAUCACUCUUUCAUUCGUGAGGUUAUUAGAUAAGUGGCUUAAAAGGAGAAAUAAUAGUCGAAAUACCGUAGGUAUUAGCUCGAAUUCAGAAAUGCAAGGUUUUGACUCCCUCGCUCCUAUGCCUUCCUAUGCCUUUCAUCCUAAAGUUUCUGAAACUUCCUUUUAUUUCCAGGUAGACUUUUGAGAGCAGGAAGACAACUAAUCGUGCUGGUUGGAGUCUCCAACGAGUAUCUGGAUCUCCCCUCCUCCUCAAACCUUUUUUCUUAAAUGCGCUUCUCACGCAUAUUGAAUUGUGCCUCUUGGCACUACCCAUAAUGAUCCUUCUCAUUAUUUAAGUGCAUUUGAACUUCUAAGUCGAUCUCUUGUGAUAAAUGGACAUGAUACCUUCUUACAGAAAGACAAUUGUACCAGUUUGUAAUUAGGUUCUGCGUUGAAGACCUUAUUUGUAAAGCUCUCUAGAAAAUAGAUGAAAACGAAGUGAAAGAAUUUCAUUUUGAUGCUUCACUCAAUUUUUUGAGGUUGAAAAAGAACUGAAGGGGUACGAUCGACCCACGGGGUGUGGCUCAUGGUGGUUAAGCUAGUGGCUAUCUCAUUGCUUAUGAGAAUUUCACAUUCAUACUCUUCAGAAAGGUUUUCUCGUAUUUGGCAUCCAACCUGAAUGACAUCUAGAAUGGUUAAUAAUUUCUUCAUGCCUUGCUUAGCUUCUUCUUGAUUCCCAAACUAACGAGACAAAGGCAAGGAAAAGAGGUUCAAAGAAUAUUGACAGUCGCGGCAAAGGUUGAGGUCUCAAGAAUCUUCCCCUAAUCUCAUAUACUCUAUGGUUGUCCUAUAUUCAUGUAUAUCAAGAAAAGCUAAAAGACAGACACCCAUUCACUUGUCUUAGUGUACAUAAAGUCAAAUUAUUCGAUUUGACAUUCUUCCAUUUCCUAAAGUCCUAAAAACAAGGUGCGUGCAGACGCGAGGUUCUAAUUGAUCAGUAGUUGAAGGAGAGAAAGUAGCUUAUUUCUAAGAAAUUCUUAUUACUAUGGUAUGAUGAACAAGUAAGAAGGAGGGAAGGAAAAAGUCCCAACAAAAGGAACCUACGACAAGGAAGGAAAGCCUAUUACCCACAAGAGUGCAGAAUCAAGGAAAAGUUGCGGGUACGAGCUCUCUUUCAUUCGUCGAACUCAAGCAAUCUCCGUUUAACACCUCUACUAAACUGAAUUAGUUGGCUUUUCCAAACUAGUAAAAAGACUAGAAACCUUGGACCUAUGGCUAUCCAACCAGGUCUUUCCACAUAAAGGGGAAAGAGGUAGAAAGGAAUAGCGAAGAUGAGUUAAAGAUCAAGAGGCAUCAAAAUGAAAUUCUCCUUAUAUCUUUUCUUUCGAGAUGAUUAACUUCCUUAUUUUUAUAUCUUGAGUCUAUCUUCUUCUUUCUUUAUGUAAGACCCAAACUUUGGGUAGUGUAGUCUUUUUCAAAGAGUUUAAGAGGUUUGAAAGAAGGAAAGUUUUUGGUUCAAUAUCAAAGAAUAGUACUUUUUAGGCGUAUUGGGUUGACUUGGCAAAAUGGUUUUAGAGGUUAGAAAGGGUUUUGAGUGUUUAAGGUUGGCAAGAAAGAAGGAUUAAAGAGGUUAGGUGUUUUAGCUAACUUCAGAAAGGAGUUUCUCACAACUCGGAAAAUUACACUCAAUCUAGACUUGAAAAUUCAUAAUUUGAGUCUAGUUUAUUGAAGAAGGUUGUUGGGCGUUUUGGAUAUGAGAAAGUUGAUGUUUGGACAAAAGAAGGCAAGAGGGUCAGUUUGCGAGUGAAUCUGAGCAAGCUACACUCUUAGAACGCUACAGAACGCAUCGUUUGGCGUUUUCUUCCCUCAAAAUUUCAGGAAAAAUUUUUUAGGGAAGAAAACACAUUUAGAGAAACUUUGUAGAAGAAAGUUUUGUCAAAAUAGUUAUGGAUUUUAAGUUAUAACUUUUCUAAGUUGGGUUAUGUAGUUUGGGCGAGAAACUAGGUGAGAUGACCUUGGAAGUUAACUAUGCGUUUUGGACAACUAUGUGGCAUGAUAAGGGCAAGCGGUUUAAGGUUUUAGUGAGGUGUAAAACCUUGUUAGCAUGCAUUUUAAGGUGUAAAGUAAGUAGGAGGUUCCUUAAGAAGGUUUAAGGUGAAUUUAAGCAACGAUGAGGUGUCAACUUGUACUCAUGCAAUGAACUCUAUAAAUAGGCCAAAUUUAGUAUUAAGUUUCUCACAAUCCACUCGAGUGUUUUAAGUGAAAUUAGUCUUAAAAGUUUUCAUUUUGAGUCUAUUUUCUAAGUUGGGGUUUUUGAUUUAAUUUGAGUAACGGAGAGUUGCGUUUUGGCGGUAGAAAGCAAGAAAGGUCAGAAUACAGGUGGUUCUGAACAAUGUGGACUUCCAGAGGGCUGUAGAGUACAUCCGUUGGAAUCUGAAGUUGAAAAUUUUAGGUAUGAAUAACAAGACGUUUUUCAACAACUUUGUAGAAGGCUAUAUGUUUAUUUGAGUUCUGGAUUUGAAGUUCUAAAGCUCUUCCUAAUUAUGGUUGAUUAAUCAUUGAUGUCCUUAAAAGUAGAAACGUGACAUAUCAUGUAUGCCCUUAAGUAUCUCAGGCUUGUGUAGGCCAAGUUCAACAAAGAAAAUCAAUUAUGUUUAAUAAGGAAGAAAUAAAAUAUAACUUGUACAAAUAUUCUGAAAAUCAAAUGAAUAAAUGGAGUAAACACAAACUAUAAUUAUAAACAUCCAGAAGGGUCAAAUGUCUACGAAUAGACUAAUGAGAUUCAAAAAUACCAGUCAUGCUUGCAUAACUGACUGAAAAAAAUGUAAUGUUUCCAAAAGAUGCCGCAUAUCUCAAGUCCAUUAUAAGAAAACCUAAUGUUCUUCAGUUUGUAGUAUCAACAAUGCAUGAGUAGUGUUAAACAUGUCAUUUCAUUUAGUUUGCGAACUACUAUGGCCUUCCUCUAUUCUCAUUCAUUCAUCAUCGAUCAAACAAAGUUAAAGAAAUUUGAUCACAAAAGCUCUUUCAAACAAAAAAAUAAAAAUAAAAACAAACAAAUAAUUCAAAAAAAAUUAAUUAUACCAAACAAGGAAUAAUUAACUAAACAAAAUGUAAGGGAUGAAUCUUAAGAAAACAAAUUACUAAAACCAUAUCUCAUACAAAUUUAGGGGGUUUUUUUGUCUAUCAAAUAAACCAAUAAAACAAUGAACUUCAAGAAUUAAAAUUCACAAAAAUAAUUCAAUAAAAGAAUGGCAAAAAACCUCAAUAUCACAAAAUUAAUAAGACGGAAUAGAUGCAUUCUACAAACUUGUUUUAUUGCAUGCUCACCACCCCUUCCAAAAUUUAUUUGAUAAAAAUUUAGUAAACUUAAAACACAGACAAUAACAAAAUUGUUGCAAACCUGCAUUUACUGGUCAAUGUCUUUAAAUCAGCAUUCUCUGACGUCAAUUCUUGAUUUUUAACUUCAUAAGCAUCCACCUAACCAUGAGACAAUUAUGAGAAUAUUUUAUUUAACCACUAACAAUCAUGCUCAUGCACAGACAUUUAAAAUAGAGGUUUUAACAUACUAUCCUUUUAUAGAAAUCGUUAUCAGUUUUCUUGCCAUUCCAAGUUCCACGUCGUCACCCUUCUUUCUGUUCAUAUCAUACAUUACAAAAGCCAGUAAAUGAAAGGAAUGAUCCAUUAUGGGUAAAAUAUUGAUAAAUAACUAAAAUAUACUUGUAGCAAAUUCAUUAUCUCCGUUCCUGAUAUAGAUUCUUUCUUUUUCUCCAUUAAGACUUGACUUGGUUUAGACAUACAAAAACUCCUAUCUAACUUGAAUCCAACUUGAGCCUAGAACCGAAAAAUAACUAAAAGGUUCUCACCUGCAAUUUGAUGUACUCCUUUUCUUUCUUCUUCAUCUCAUGUAUUUGUUGAGUUCUUACUUGCUUUGCACACAAACAGAAAACAACAUUAGUACUAAAAUUAUUACAUAGAAACUAGUAUCUAUCUCACAGCAUCCAACUACCAUAACCUGAUUGCCAAUAACCCUUCUCUGGAGUUCAACAUUUUCCUACUGUAGCUUGUCAAUUUGAGCUUUAAAAGCAGCCUUACCUUUGGCUUCCUGUGGAAAAGAACUUCCUUGUUCAAUGUUAAAUAGAGAGAAAUCAUAGAAUUUAGACAAGUCUCGAGAUUGUACUAUUCGUGUAACUGUUGCAAUCUCCCUAUCUUUAACUUGUACUACCGACUUUAGCCUCUCAACUUUGGUCUCCAACCUUGAUAUAUCUUAAUGUAGCCUGCCACAAGAAAAUAAAGGUGACUGAAUACAGGGAACCAUGGUUGUGUGAAGGAAUAUUAAAAAGCUUUGCAACAUCAUUACCCUGAAAUGAACUACAUUUAUUCCAUAUCUUAAACCAAUCUCCCAUAACAAGAAAUGAACCAAAAUUAGAAACAGUAGCUCUUUCAACACUACCGAAAGACAUAAUCUCACGAAGACACUUGGCAAUAAAAUCGAAUCUUUAACGCAUCACCAUUCUCAUCAAAUGUUAAACAAAUCUGCUGAAUCAGUACAAAACCACAUGUUACUUGGAUCAAAUGCAACGGUCCUUACCACCCAAGGUGACUACUUAUGACCUAUACACCGAAAGACAAGUGUUGAUUUUUAUGGGCACGAAGUGGCAGAAUAUCCCAUGCAAGAUACACAUAAUAAUUCAUAUGAGAUGUUAAAUCAUAAAUGAGAGAAUAAUAAAGUCAACAGAAAGAGACAUAAAAACGGCCAGUAUGCAAUUAUCAUUUCAGUUACUAUUCUGUUAUUUUCAACUAUUAGUAUUCUUUUUUCUCAAAUAUAAUGUACUUUCUAACUCCAUGUGGCGUUUAUUUCAAUCACUGCUUCAGAAAAGCAAGCUUAAGAUUUUGUUUCUAUUUAUUUUUUAUAAGAAGCAGGAAUGUAUAUAUUCAACAAAAGAGCCGAAAAAGAACAGUGCAUAAAAAGUUAUCCAAUGGAGGGAGAUGGACCAAAUUUGGAGCUUUCUUUGAAGUUUCUCAUAGAGUAUUUAGCAUCUAUAGGCUACCGACUAGAGGCUAUUUAUCCUAUAAGUUGUGGAAUACAGGACGUUUAUAUACAAGUUGAAUUAAAUUGGACCAUGAGGUUGUAAGGUUAAAACUUCAACCUCAUCCCACUUUUUUCUCAUUUAAAUAAAUUACAUCUGAAACACUACUGAGAUCCAUGACAAAAAACACAUAGAGCAAUAGGAAAAAUAUAUAUAUAAUAUAACUAACCCUACUAUUUCUCCAUGGAGCAUGCCAAACCGAACGUUGUCACUUGCUUGGAAUUCUUUCCAUAAUUGCAGAUAUUGACCCUAUAAGACCACGGAUACUAAAAAUGUGAAAAGAGCAGGCUUAAAGGGUGUCGCCUAACAAAUAAAGCUCAACAAUGAGGAGCUUUAGGAAUGUCGAAGGCCCAUUCACGGUAUCAAUCAUAUGUGAUAUGUCCAAAAAAAAGGGGGAGAGCGUGUACUACAAAAUCAAGAACUGAAGAGCUUUCAACAUGUCAUGCUUGAUGAUUUGACAACUAAUUACAUAGGUUUCUAAGUAUCAUAUUGAUGUCAACCAGAGGCCUUAACCCCUGAAACAUAGGGAAGGAAGCAAGCAAGAUUAAGACUCCAGCUAUAGCACAUAUAUAGUUAAAUUUCAUGAUUUUCAUCCAUUAGAAAGGUAUAAAAAAAUUUAUAAACCUUCCAGAUGAACCAGAUGCAGAAACAAUAGUUGAACAUCUACCUUUAAGGCCACCAUCGUUUCUGAAAAUAAAAGAUAAUAUAGAUAGAUUAGUGACAAUUCUACCAAAUAAAAACAGAACUAAAUAAAAAAAUAUUAAUUUACCCCUUACGUUAAAACUAUAAACCAAACAAAUGGGAAAUGGCUGAAAAUUUAAGAUUUGAAUCAAAACAAAGAAUACAUUCAUCACACGUACCCCAAACCUAGAUUUGAAGAUUUAUUCGUGAUUUAGGCUCGACAACAUCAAUAAAAUGAAACAGUUCCCACCACAAAUAUGGAUGUCAUUUGCCAAUUGUUUCUCUGUACAGUCGCUCAUACUUCUAAGUUAUAACAAUUCAAAUAAAGCUCGUGAUUCACAUCAAAAAUUAAAUUAAAUACAAUACAAGAUAAAACAAUAUUACAACAAAGAAAGAUCCACUAAUUUUCAAUCCCUGUUACCUAGUUAGCCUAUGUACAUUAGUUUUCUUCAUCAGACUCAAAAGACUGGUGUUUUCUCAAAGAUUCAAUCACAUUCAAACGUGAAGUAUUUGUGCCAUUGUUUCCACCAGUACGAGACUUGAGUUUAGGCAAACUUAGAGAACCGAGAGGCGGUGUCGAAGUCCCUCUGUUCACUUCUCUAAGCACAGAUUUUGCUGUGGCUGCAGCAGCUGCAUCAGCAAUGGCUGAAGCAACUUUCGAAUCAUUUUGAAGUUUUGAGGUUAGGUUGUUAAGAACACUUACAGCUUGAGGAGGAGCCUCAGGAGAAAGAUAGUUAGUUGACUUUUGCAUCUCGUUGACUGCCUCAGCAACGGCUGACUUGGCUUUGGUACAUUCAUAUCUUUGAAUGUCAUAGAGGAGCUCUUUCUGAAGUUGCUUAUCAGCUACCAAUAAGUCAUCAAUUUCGUUCUUGUAGUCCUUGAGAAGAACUCGAAGGCAUUCCAUGAGGGAACCUAUUAUUAAAGAAUAUGAAUAAAAUGUUAAAUAUGUCUUAGGAUCAAUUUGAAAGGACUUUUUAAGUGUUCAAAAACACUUUUUAAAGCACUUACAAAACCGUCCCAAACAGGCACUUCACAUUUCAAUUUAAAUUAUUUAAGUUUUGGAGUAUUCGUACCUAUAAGGGGGCUAUUCUUGCUUUCCAUUAGCCUUUUUAACUCAAUGAAGAUGGGUAUGGUGUUUUGUAUGAGACUCUUUCUCACUGCGUGAGUGAUGACCUUUCCUCUAGCAGCAGAUGCUCCUCCGCUCUCACCCCUUCCUCACCUACAUCACCAGAUUCUGAUGAUGAUACUCGAUUUAUUGAUAGUCGAAUCUCUUUACAAGCAAGAAUCUCAAAGGUAUCCUGCGCUUUCAGCCAUGGGGAACUAAUGAGAUUCCAGAUCGCAAAUACUGACAAAAGAAAAUUAGAAUAGCAGCAAAAUUAUUGACUAAAGAUGAUUGAAUGCUUUUGAAUAUGGACUGUAAAAUAGAACGUGCAGUAGUAUCAUCUAUAUUGAGUAUACCAUCGGAUGCUGCAACAAGAACUUCUGCACAUAACUUUGCAAAGGUGGCCAGAAGAUGCUCGGGAGCCAUUUGUUUCAAAAGAGAAACAUAAAUGCGCAUUCUCCUGGACCUCGACCUUUCAUCAUUGCCUCUUCAAAUAUAAAGUUGGAAAGAUAGACAAAAGAUAAUCAUUUUCCAUUACAUGUAACUGUAUAAUAAGGCACAUAGUUCAAACAUUCCUUACCGGAUGGAGAAUGGUCGACUUUCAGCUCGUGAUGCCUUCGAAUCGCUAUGUCCAGAAUGAGCACGAUAGUCAUUCAAAACAUAAAUUGCUUCUAUGAAACUGUUGUAAGCCAAAAGUGGGGCCUUCACUGCAAAUUCAGUUUCACAUUUCAAUUCCAUUGCCACGUUGGAAUGGUAUGACCAAUAUUAUAACCAUGACAGUGGCUAAAAAUGUAAAAUUUUAUAACCUUUCAAAAUGUUACCAAAAAGGUAAUCUGCUAGUUGACGAAUCUUCUCCGAUUCAUCAACAAGUGACAAAAGAAACCGAAGAAACAAAACCCCUCUCCAUUUCACAUAGUCUCUCUGAAAAUUAAAACGAUAUUGCUGAACAUUGUUAAUCACAAACAUGACAGUGAAAAUUGGGAGAAGUUCUUAGGAGUUGGGAAAGAACAAAUUACCUGUAAUAAUCUGGAUAGAAGUAUGAAUGUGUGUCUUCUGACAAGUUCACAAGGAUCGCGAAGGCACUUUGUGAUUUUCGUAAGGUAGCUGUUCAAUUCAGAGUUAGUCUGAUUGUAACAAGGAACAAGUUUAAAGAGAUUCUAUUUCCCUGCCAUUUCAAAGUAUUUGAUAAAGCUAGCAUAUCUCCAAGACUUGUAUCAUGUAUCAGCCUUACCAGUCAACUAGAGCAGUAUAGCGUACACAAAAAUCUGCCAUUGUGAUAAUAAGAUUGUUGCGAAGCGCUGAACAAUCACUAUUUCCAAGCUCCUAAACCAAUAUAAAAGACUUAAAACUUUAAGCAAUUUGAGUUGUGUCGAACAAAAUUUGACUACAUAAAAGACACUGAUAAAGGAAUAUAACAUGAAAUUUUAUAUACGAAAACAAGGAAAAUCUCAUAAAUUCUAGCGCAGACAAUAUACUGUAAGUAAAAAUAGAACUUAAUGAACAAACAAAUGAGUAAAAGUUUAUCUACCAUAUAUAUGAAUAGUCGAAAAGAUUAUAUGAUUGGCUCAUGUAGUAUAUGUGGUAUUAUAAAACCAAAAUGCCAGAGACCUACAUGUAACAUUCAUUCAAACCAUCAAAAGAUCAGGCUACAUGAGUGAUAUGAGGCCUGAGAUUCGAGACUUAACCUGUACAAAUAGAGGAAUGUAACUCUUUGCUCGCUUCUCAUCAGUAAGGCAAAUCUUCCCCAUUGUCAACCAUGCUUGAAUGUAUAAAGAAGGAGCAGUUUCCUUCAGAGAUGCGGUUUGAAUUGGUAGUUUAUUAGAUUUGAGAUCACGGUUUCCAGAAGUAAUAAUGGUGUGGAGAAGUGGUACUAUGGUAGUCAUGUCAGCCGAUGGACAAAUGAGAAUCAAAGAGCCAAUGGUGUAAGCUGCAGUGAUUGCUCGGACAAGGACUUGCUCCUAGCAGAUGCUUUCUUCCCCAUUCGACUACCACUUUUAGGAGGUGGUGUUGUGAAGUUCACAUCUUUGUUUGCUUCCGCAUGGUUGGAUAUGUACUUCUCCAAUAUGUCCGAGGCUUUCGAAAGAAGCUGGUUUACCCAUUUUAGGAUGAGGGCAUCGGCUUCAGUAGAUUGCGAAGCCUUCCGCUUGCACAAUGUUUUAAGUGUUUUUACAUGUGCAUUCACCUACCAAGAUAUCAUCAUUAUUUGAAAAUGCGUGUGAGGUAUCAAGAAAAAGAGACUAAAUAUAUACGUACGUGUUGAUCUUUAAAAAUUGGUGAUUAACAGGAAAAGUAGAGUACUAUAAGAAAAUUCAAACCCAGAACACUUUUUUGGCUUGUAUUUAGAUUAGUGCUUUAUCACUGUACUUUAUUAAUUUUUCAUUAUUCCACAAAUGUUUUUCAGGCCUUUUAUCCGACUGUAUAGAUAUUUGAAACAAUAAAAAAGAAUAGUGAAACAAAAUCAAGAGUGAAAAAAUCCCAAUUGCCAAAGCACAGGGAGCUGCAUUCACACGCAUUGGCUGAUAAUAUCCACACUACACACACCGGCCAUAUAUACGCGUUCACUACAUGUAUUGUCAAAUAAUUCCAAGAAGAAUCUUUCCCCACGUUAAAGACAUUUUAGUAAAACAAUAGCAUACACGUUGAGCUGAGCACAUUAGUAACUAGCCCAAACUAUAGCAUGCAUGUAUAGAGUCAUAGAGAUAAAUAGUAUGUAGUAUAGGACAAUGUCCGGAUGAACAGUGUUCACAUACCAUAGAAGUCUAGAAGAUGAGAUUAUUGUCCAUGGAAGCGUGUUAGAAAACUACGUAUAGGUGAAUAGUUUUAAUUAUCUAAACAAUUGUACCGGAGAAAUAAACCAACCAUGAUGAAGUGUAAAACAAAGUUUGAAAACAAUGAUGUUGAUGCUUACCUCCGUUGGAUGCAUGUUGAAUUCUUCAACCCUUUUAAGCAAUUCAUGAGCUAAAUCUGCUGCAGGUUCUGGAGGCAGCUCAACAGAAACAUUGGAGAUGGUUUGUAAGAGAAAAACCCGAUCUUGAGCCCAAGCGACGGAAUUUGACUCUGAAUUGUUUUUUUCUCCAAAUAAACCUACUUGAGUCACUGAACUUUGAACAGUCCUACCAUGAUCAUCAAGGAGUUUCCAGUGCUGAUGAAGAAAUUCCCAAUCAAUGGCUUUCCCAAGAUAAGUGGACACUUCUGACAACAGGAACCAGGCACCCGGAGGAGCUGUCCACUUCUCUGGAGGCAAAGAUUGGCUUCGCCAUAAGGAUUCAGAUGUCUUUAUAAUUACCUGAAGUGAAUCGGCAAUUGUGCGUUUUAAUCGUUUCUUUUUUCCUAAGUUGGCACAAACUUUCUUCACCCAAGGAAUUACCUCUGCAUGACUUAUCUCUUUAAGAAGAUCCAAUACUCCUUUAGGUAAACUUGAAGAUUCAGCUCUAGCCAACCGGUCUAGCACUAGUUCUUGAAACGAGUGUUCACACUCUUCUUGAAUGCUAGAUUCAUUGUCAGCAAUCAAACGUGGAAUUGAGUGUAGCCACUCGACCAUGACACUUCCAUCUGGGAAUCUUCGAAAGGCCUAUAGAAGUAAAUAUAGAUUCAAUGAUAGACCAAUAGUGAGUGAAGAAUUGAAAUUGUAACUUUUAGCAGUUUAGCCUAGUAAAAAAUAUAAAGCAAAAUAAAACUGUAUAUCAACUUCUAGAAAACAUCCAUAUUUCUAAAGUGGCCAAAUGUCGGUGUCCAACACCAUUAAUGCAUGUGACAUGAUACAGAGACGUCUCCCCUACGUGGCCAAAUUGUCAAACUUACUCCUACUCCUACAUGCCAUCUAAAUACAAAUUAUAUCAACUUUAAACUUAUUGAACUCUUACUAAAAAACCCAACUUAGUGUAAACAUAGGAAUUUACCUCGGAAAGAGCCGACAUUGCAGCUUUCCGUAUGCUAACGAGUGGGUCAGAACAAGCAAUUCCUACCGUCUUUAGCAUAUCACCAUCCAUUGCUCCACCAAGGACGGUUGUACACUUGGUAACCAGAAAUAAUGCAGCCUUCCUAACUGCCGCCUUUUGAUCCACACACCUUUUCCGCAAAAGACCAAGAAUUUCACCAUCACCAGGCCCCAAAAUUUCCUUCAUUAAGGCCUUAUUCUUGUCAUUCUCAGACAGGAACACCACAAGGUGAGCUAAGUUGGUAAGUGCUCGAGCACGAAUUGGAGCACUGGCAUCUGAACAACGUUGAACCAAUGCCACCAAGCACCCAAAAACCCACGAAUCCUUUAACUCAAUUUUCGAAUCAAUGACCAUUGGAUCACUCAAGGACAUUAUCAGCAUUGAGAUGAGAUCAACCGCUAACAGCCUAAGAUUAGACUUUCCUUGAGUCAUCUUCACUGCAUAAUCCACAAACCCAAUUUGAUCGGGUAAUUCCAGCGCUUUAACAACCUCCAUUAUUGAAUCAACUGCUAAACUACGAGGCUCAGAUUUCUCAGGCGCCUUCUGAACCAAAUACCUUGGAAGAUUCACUAGAGCACUCUUAACACCAUCUGAUUCCUUUGCCACCUUCCCUAUUUGAAUAGUCACAAACUCUAGCGCAAACGCUCGCGCCUGAUCUUUAUGAUUAAGAAUCAAUGGUGAUAGAGACUUAAUCACCUCAACAGCAGUAUUCGAUAGAUCCCCAUCCUCAGGACGCAACAUAGCACUCAAAAUCCGCGAACAAAAAUCAGUGAACUUACUAUAGAUACUUAAAUUGGUACAUAUUUCAAGUGCCAAAACAGGAAUAUCAAUUACAGUUUCAAUCAAAGAUUUCAAACUAUCCGGAAAUCGAUCCAAAUGAAUUACACUCAUUAAAAUCUCUAACCUCUCAAGUACGGGAUACAAAACUCUUGCAUCCAAUUCACCAUCAUCGUAUCUGCCACUAGAACUCUGCCUCGGACGUUUCCGCAAACCCUUACCCUUAAAACCGGCUUUCCUCUUCCUUUUGGGAGCACUAGACUCCUUAUUAGAAUCAUCCUGGUCCUGUUGACCCUGUGGUCGCUGCUUCAAGAAUCUCCUCACACACCUGAGAAACGAGAGGAAAUCCAUGGGAUUGAAAAGCGUGAAGACCGGUGCAUUAGAGGCCAAAAGAAGAGAGAGAUAGACUGUAGAGGCUAAAACCGAAACACAGGUGGAAGAUUCAUCCAUGGCGGAAGCAAUGGCGCGAGUAAGAGAGGAAGGAGAGAGGGAUUUAGCCGAGAGGUCCUCGUAGAGACGAUCGAGUGGUUGUUGUUCAUCGGUACUAAUUGAGUUGUCUAACAAAGUUUGAAGGUCGAAAAGAGCGGAUUGGGAGAGCGGAGGAUGGGAAUGGAGAGUUGUAGAGUGGUCGAAAUGGCGAAAUUCUUCGAGCUCUGUGAGAAUUCGAGAAAUGGCUUCCUCCAUGGGAGUGAAGUGUGAAGCCCUCGUGAAGCCGCCGCCGUGUUUUAUAUAAAUUUAUUGAGUUUUAAAUUUUUAUUUCCCGCUUAGACCCUUUCUCCCACCAGCCUCUCAAAGUAUGUAUACUGUAUAGUAACUAAGUUCCAAUGUUUAAAAGUAAAUUAAUGAGCUAAUAUAUAAUGAGUGCAAACUAUAAGCUAAUUUUAGUUGUAGUAGUAAUGCUUUUGCUAGUUGAUGUUUCGUUUGAUUAAACUUUAUGUUGAUAUUUGUUUGUUACUUUAAGUUUCUACGGUAUAUUGUCUAUAUAUUUAAUCAAUCGAGCUAUAUAUACAAUGAUGUUAAUGGCUUAUACAUUUAACCAAUUGAGUUAUUAAAACGACGUUGAUGACUUGCACACAUUUACUUCAGUUGAGUUAUUCAACAACGUUUUGAAUUAAAUGAUAGUCUAACUCAAUACUUCAACCAUAUAUAUGAUAUUAUAACUCAAUACAGUAGAUCGUUUUUAUGUGAAUUGUGAAUAUGUGGUAAUUGACAAUCACAUAUUUAGUUACAAAUUUUUUUUAAAUUCGAGAGUUGUGAAACAAAGUGAUCGAACUCUUUAAGAAAUGACACUACCACAAGUUUGAUAGAAAAUGUUAAAAACAAAGGUUGAGAGUGUUUCUAAAGCAUUUUUUAGUAUAUUUAAAAAAUUAAUUUACCAAUCACUUCAUUAAUUUUAUUGAUUUUUUUAUGUUUUAAAAUUAAACAUUUUAAAAUCAAACCCAACUCACCGUAUAUUGGAAUGAGCUUUGAACAAUUUUAAGAGUUUUUUUUGGGUAAUUGUAGUAGAUAGCCAUUUGAGGAAUAAAAAUUAAGGAUAUAACAAUAUUUUUUAAAAAUUGCAAAUAUAGCAAAACUAUCGUUGAUAGACUUGUAUCGUUAAUAAACUUGUAUCGUUAAUAGACUUGUAUGAUCUAUCCGUGAUAGACCAAUAUUUACAAUAUAGUCUAUUAGCGAUAGACUUGUAUCAUUGAUAGAAUUUGACAAAUUUUGUUAUAUUUGUAAAUUUUUUAAAAAGUUACUAUAUAUUUAAUUAUUUUGAAUAUAAUAGCUAAAUUUGCAACUAUCCUAUUUUUUAACGAUUUGUUGAAAAUUUAAAAUUAAGUUUUUUUUUAUUAGGUAGUGAUAUAUAUAAUAGUAUUUCUUAUAUUAAGAAAAGUUUUUAAAAAAUGUUUGUUUAUAAUACACGGAAAUGGUGAAAAAUAACAAAUUUAAUGAAAAAAAUGUAAAUAUUUUAAUUUAUUUUACUAUUUUUAAAAACAUCUCUAUAAUUUAUCACUUUUUAUUCUAACAAGAAAAUGAAAAGAGAGGUUAAAGACAUCAAUUAUUGUUGUAUGGUAAUGGAAGCAAACUUUGGAAAGAUAAUUGAACCUUGGGAAGAGUACUCCUUGAAUAUAAAUUGAAAUUUAGUUUGGAAUACCAAAUUCAUAACAAACUUUGCUACAAAAUUUCCACAAUAAAUUGGUGUGUGCAAAAGAAAAUGAGCCUUUUAUGGGCUAAACUUUUGGUUCAUUCAUAAUUGGUUUCCAUUUGUUACGUAAUUUUAUUUUAAUCUAAUAAAAUCAAUUGAAUUAUUUAUGACUUUCGUUGGCAUUGUAUUGUCGUUGGAAAGAUAAAGCAAACGAUAUAUGGUUGUUGAAUGUUCUUUACAUCGCAAUAACGCAAGAUUGAAAUAUUCAUAACAUAAAUCGUUCUAUUCAUGAUCAAGAAUAUAUUAUUAAAUAGUUGAGUUAUGUUUAGCAUGACACUCAACAAAAAUCACCCAGUCGAACGAACUUAAGGACAUACAUGCUUUAAAGUUAUUAAAAUAAACUAAAUGAAACUUUACUCAUUGUUAAUUAAUGAUCUCAAGAGCAAAUGGAAGAAGAUCGAAGGAGACCAAAAUUUAUUUCUAACAUUCAAUAACAGUUUGAUAGUUUGUUUAAGGUAAUAAAUAGCUAGAAACAUGUGGAUUUAAACUACUGAUCAUAAAAAAAGAAAGGCGUGUCAAUUAUUGUUGAUAAACUAUAUAUACUAACAUAUAUUGAUCACAUAUUGGUGACAAUAACUAAUUAACAAACGAGCAAGACUAGUUAUUGCAUUUCUUUCUUUGGUACACAAAUAGUUACAAAUAACUUUUCACAUAGACACGAAGUUAAAAUCUUGGAGAUAUACAUGUUCAAAAUUUUAUAGAUUUAUAUAUUCAUGAAACGAGAAGAAUGGUAGAUUGAUCAAACAUAUAUAUAUAUAUAACUACAAAAGUUCAUAUUUAUAAUUUAACAAAAAGAAAGGUAUAAAUAUAAUGUAUAUGGGAAGAAGUGAAAUAAAAAAAGAGAGAGGAGAGUUUCAUAAAUAAUAUAGAGCAAAGAUAUACAAAACAGGAGAGGAAGAGAGAGGUAAAUUAGGCCCACACAAUAAAAAAUGUGAAAAUUGGGAGAAAAGAAAGAGGUUUUGAUGGAUGGGAAGAUCCCCUCCUCUUUUUUCUCUCAUCUCUUCAAACUACCAAAUGUUAUUCUUUGGGAGGAAGUGAUUUGAGAGAUCUCUUAUUCUAAAAGGUAUGAGAAGAGAUAAGAAGGAGGGACUAGACCGUGGUGGUGGUGGAGAGGACGGCAGCAGUGGAAAUGUCAUCUUUCGAGUCACCGAAGAUGCGUUGACGAAAGUCAGAAACCAUAAGGGGAAGGCCCUUUCGAAGGGACACGGUGGGCUCCCAACCAAGAAGGUCCUUAGCUUUAGAAAUGUCAGGUUUUCUUUUAUGCGGGUCAUCUUCCGUGUUCGGUCUGAACUCUAUCUUUGCAUUUGGAUCUAUUGUCUCUUGCACUACCUGCACAAUAACUUUAUUGGUUAGAAAGAAAGUACUUAAACAAAAUAUUUUAGUGCAUCUCGAGUUGCACCUAUAUUUGUGUCACUUAUUCAAAUAUUCGAUGAAAAGCGAACACAUAUAUAACAAUUAUUUUGUUGAUAUGGAACCAUUUGGGUAGCUUCAUAAAAUAGAAUUAAGGAUCUAUAUUUAAAAUAGACUGUAUCAUAUAAAUUAUUAGGAUGUCCUUUUUUAUCACAAUUUAAGUCUAUAGUUUAACUUGUUAGAAAAUAAAGAAAUGCAACCUUAUAAAGUGUUUUGAUCUAUAGAUAAUAACUAAGUCGACUAUUCUUAAAAUUAGUUUUGCUUCUCCAUGAAUUCAGUUUUGGUUGUACAAAACAAAAUAUUUUAUUGAAAAAACCUACGAGACAAGAAAAGUUUAAAACAUUGUUAUGGAAAGAAAACCUAUUAGUGUUUAUCUAUUGAUGUAAAAUUUUGUUAUAUUUUAUAAAUAUUUUAAUUCAUUAUCCUCUAUUUGAAAAUAAGUGUUUGUAAUAUAACUAAAACCAAUAUCAAUAGUUUGAAUUGGUUGGUCAAUUUACUUAAAAUGCUAAAAUAGCUCCCACCAAUACAAACUUAUUAUUAAUUUUAAAAUCAUAUUUUUUUUACUUACAAAAAAAAUAAUAUACAUACCUAUAUUCAUUUUAAUUUUAUGAUUUUGUUAGAGUUUAUUUUUUCAUAAGAUUCAAAUUAACCAUCCCAAUUAUCUCAACUUAAAUGUUUCAUGAAUGAAGUUAAUUAUUUAUUACGUGAAAGAAACUUAGAGGGCAAAGCAAUUAGGGUUGAUGAGUAAAUGUUCCAAAAAAAGGAUUAAACCUAAAUAUUUUAAAUGCUAAAAGAGAGUAGAUUAGUUUAGGAGUAUAAAUGUGAGAAUGGGGGAGUAGAGAGCUGACUGAGCAAGUUCGAGCAUAGUGAAUUCGUCGGGGUUGCCCAGAUUAAAAGGCCCCACGUGCUCGCCUUCCAUCAGUUUCAUUAGCCCCUCCACCUGUGACAGUUUAUUAUUAUUAUUAUUAUUAUUAUGUAAAACUCUAAACAAUAUCACAAUAAUAAAUUAAUUACAAAGUUAUAUAAUAUCCUAUCUUUAAAAAUCACAUUUGCUAAAUUCGAAAUUAAGAUGAAACAGUCCGUUAAUUUUGUAGUGGUAAUAAAUAAAUGUGUAUAUAUUUUACCAGAUCAGAAACGUAUUGAAAACUCCGGGUUUGCUUGCCAUCUCCAUAAACUGUCAACGGCUCAUUUCUUAAUGCCUGUGGGAGUUUUCACAAUAUAAUAUUUACUAUACUUUUCAAACUUUAAUCCAACAUAACGCUGGGGGUAAUAUAUUAAUAAUUAUGCAAUUAAUUACUUUGUGACCACCAAGAAAUAACAAACUUACUUACUGUUGCAUUGUUUAUAUCCAAGCAAGGUUAACAAGUGAAGUUACAAGCAACAGAAGAUGGAUACUAAUCUCCAAAAAAAUAACCGGAUAUCAUUUCUAAGAAAAGAAAGAGAACCACAUUUACCUUUAUCACCUUAUGCUACCUCGAGAUUAUUCAGCUUUGCACAGUGAGGAGUUGGGAGAUUUUAUUCCACUGGAGUCUCUGGAGUUCUACGUCACAAUAACGCGAAACAAGGUUUCGAUAAUCCCUUAUCACACUGUUCUCUAUUUCAGCUCGAGCUGGGCUUCCAAGAGGAUAUCUUACAUCAAAAUUUGAUGAUUUGACAAAAAAUUCCACGCCAUGUUUCUCUGUAACCAUAGGAAUACUAUAGGAUUGAUUUUCAUGCAAAGAAUAUUCAGGCUCUGGAAAUGGCAUAUAAGCCAACAAGUAAAUUAACAAUGGUAACAUUAGAAGAAUGAUAAAAAAUUUGGGACCUCUCCCAUCAGAUUCAGUCUUCUGUUGGCUUUCCCUACCUCCGUUGGGAUCAAUUUUAUUUUCAGACGAAUCAUGAUUCGUUUCACUUCUCCGAUGCCUUGCAUUCUGCUGUUGGUGCUGAUACUGAUCAACAAAAACCGUGUGAUCAUAUUCCAUACUUUCUUUUUGUAGUUUGUGAUCCUAGCUAAACUCAGGUUAAAGAGUUAUGUUUAUAUUUGUAUAUUUGAAUGGAGUUAAUUGCAAAUACAACGAUUAGAUACAAAAUAUUUGCAUAUGUAACACAUAUUGUAUUGCUAAUAUAAAUAUAUCACUCAUAGAAUUUGCUAUAAUUAUACUUGUUUAAACAUACUAAUACACACUUAAUCUUCUUAGUUCAAUAAUGGUAUGGAGUGGAACAAACUUCCUACAUUAGGAUAAAAGGGUCACACAAAUUACCUUCGUAGUAAACUUACUUUUGACAUUAUUCAUUUAACUUAGGGUAAGUAUAAUGGAUUAGCAAUUUUAUGAAUAAUAAUUAAGUAUAUAACAAUAUCUUUUAAAAAUUGUAAAUGUAGCAAAAUAUAUUUGUGAUAGAUUUAUAUCGUUAAUAGACUCUUAUGCUUAUAAGCGAAUGACAUAUGUGAUUUAAAAUAACUGCAGCAAUUAGUUUAAAAUGUUGUUAUAUAUCUACGAAUUUCUUAAUUGUUAUAUUCAUUUGUCAUUAGUUGUAUUUAAAAGGGAUGACCAGAAAAACAUUAAAACAAGAGGUUUACUUUUGAUAAAAGAAAAUUUAAAUUUAAAUUGCUAAAAUAGCAAAAUGUCCAUGUCUAAGUGAAAACUUGCAUCCAAAUAAAAUUAUUCAACAAUAAUCACGGUCGAACUCAAACUCCCAAAAACAAUGAUUACAUUUAUUCCCUAAUUUGCUAAUUCAUUUUGGAUUAGGUUUAUUUUUGACAACAAUAAAAAAAUUGAGGUGUGGAACAAUGAUAUUAUAAAUGCCAAAGAGUAGUUAAGAUGCAAAAUAUAAAUUUAUAUUUGCAAUAUUAGGUCAAAAUGAAUGAUAAUUUAGUUAGAUUUUUGUCAAAUAAAUAAAAAUGUGAACCAUACCAAAAGCAAAUAUAGAUGCUUUUUUAUUAUUGAAUUUUCAUAGAAUAAAUAAUAAAAAAAAGUAAAAAUAUUUGCCUUUUAACUUUUUCUUUUUUAAUUUUCAUAGAAAAUAUUUAAUCCAAAAAUUAAAUAACUCUCCUCCACGGUCAAUUUUCUUUCCCUCUUCUUCAACCUCAACGGUCUCUUUUAUUUCAAAUUUCUUUCCCCUUUUUCUUCUCCAUCGGUUUACUCUGCCUCUCAUCUCCCCUUCUCUUCUUCGUCUUCCUCAAACCCUGCGAUUUCCUAUCUCUCAAAUUCCGUUUCGCUCUUCCUAUACCUCCAAAAUUUCGCUCUUCCUCUCUAACGUGAAGCAGCCAAGAAACUCUAUCUUGCGACAUACCCAUCUCGUCGAUCCACCACUUUCUUCUUCUUCUAGCCUUAACGGUGCCGAAAUCAAGGGCCGCAGACCCCCUCGGAAACCCAAGUCUUCCAAAGAAAAUUCUCCACCCUCAGAUCGGUUUUCGAUUCCAAAUCCUGAAGAGCCCGCUUCCACCUAGGCCUCCCUCUUCUAACCCGACCGUUCCUGAGAGUUCGCUAUCACAUACUGCUUUUUUUACCUGUGUUGUUGAAUCCCGAUCCAAGGUAAUGCUAAAAUAAUGUUGCUAACAUCUGGAAUAUGGUAUUAUUGAAUUUAGUAUAAAUAAAUAAAUAAAUAAAAGAAGUAUACCUGUAACAACUAACAGUUGUGGGCACUGUCGGAAAAAGGCAAUGAAUUUGUAAAUCGAAGUGCAGAUAGUUCUGUUGUUUAGGAUGGAAAAGCAUGAGUAUCACGUUUCUAUAUUCAACGGACUGGUACUUGUAAAAUUUAGGCUCAUAAUCAUUUUAUUAUGCAGAGACUGGCAGAUGGUUUAAGUAGCUGGUUCCGGAGGCAGAAGCUAACAGGUGCAGCUGGGGAGCGCUUGAAGGAAGCACGCAAUAUCAACCGACCACUCUCACAACUCGGGUAACCGAUCAAAACUAUUGGGAGAUAUUUCAAAUUUCAUUUAAGCAGUGAUCUUUCCAAUGAUUUUUUUCUUUAUUUAUUUUGUAAUGUCAAUUAGUUGGCUAAUUAUUUAUCAGAAUGCUUGUUGAUAUCGCUGCAUGUUUUAUUUUGUAAUGUUUGUACUUUUUAGUUGUGAUUUGUGAAUAUGCUAGGAUUGAUUUGAUUUGCUCUUCUGACUGUUAAGAUCGGAAUGAUGUUGCUCAUCUGAAAGAAGGCAACAUCAUGUGCUUGAAGACUUGUAGAGUAUGGAGAGUGAAUGGUCAAAUUUGAGGAAUCGUAUCUGCUGGCUUUGUAGUCCAAACAGGUUGUCUGGCUAACUUUCUUUUUCUCAUUUUCAACCAAUUAGGAUAGCUGUCAUGUUUUUUGAAUUCCUUGCCAUUGUUGAGUAGUAACUUGGCAUUUGUUUAUUAAAAGGUUUUAAUUAAGAUUAUGGUGUUCAUAACUUUGUAGUCACACUAAAUAACUUAAAAGAGUUAGUUUGACAGUUGACAAACAUGAUAGUAAUGUGAUAGUGAGUGCAAGGGUAAAAAGAGCUGCUUCUGUUGGGUUAAAGGGAUGUUUGUGUUUUUUAGUGUGAUGUGUUUUGUUUUCAAGUUCGUUAGUAGACGUAUUACUUAAUUGAGCAUUUUGAUACCAUAGCCAGUGUAGGGGAAGAUGAAUGGAGGGUGCUAUGAGACUAGUUAAGACUUAUAUGUAUCCUAAUUUUAGUAAUAUAUAAAAUUGAGAGAAUUUCCUUUGAUUUUCAGGAACAAGGAUGAAUAAUCAAUGAAAAAUGAACGAAAAGGUUUAUCCAUGCAAGCUUCAAACCAAAGUCAAGGAUGUCGAUCCUUCCAGGGGAGUCCAAAGUUCCAAGAUUGUUUAUCCAUGCAUCAUUUUGUCGAUCUACUAAGAUUAAAUUGUCUCGUUGUAGUUGCAAGACUGGAACAAUAGACGGCAGUUUACACCACCCAGUGACUUCCAUGCUGACGUGAUGAAUGAUUAUUUCAUUUCUCAGGUAAUUGUUCUCAAUGAAUGUUUUGGUUCUAACGACCUGCUAUCUGAUCGUAAUUCUAAUUAUUUACUUGGCCUUGUUUCUUUGUAGGCAGUGAUAGAAAAUACCAGAGCAAAUGAUAUACACAAGCGAGUUCCCUUUUUAGUACCGUUUACUAGCAGGGUUAAGAUUUUCACUGUAAGCAAGUUAUUUUUUUGGUUUCCUUAUCCACAAUAUUGAAUUUCUUGGAUGACUGUUAGUUAUAGAAAUAUGUAAGAUAUUUUUUAUUUAUGGUUACUUUCUCUAUAACUCAUUUCACAGACACAACUAGCAGCAGCUAGGCAAAGGAAUGGAUCUCUUGCUGUUUUUGCCAGAAACCGGUUUAGAAUUCGACGAAAUCAUAUAUUGGAAGAUGCUUUCAGUCAGAUGAGUGCAUUGUCUGAAGGUGAUCUUCGAGGAUCGGUAAUUUCAGACUUCCAUGAUUUAUGAAAAAUGAAAUUGUUAUCUUACUUUUUUCUAUCUUUUUCUUUGCCCUCGUGAAAACGACCCCUUCCCUCUUCUGCAUCCUAUAGUUGCAGAGUUACUUGUAAUUGUUUAUUAGUUUUUUCUUGUUUGUGUUGGGUCAAUUGCUUCAGUUUUCUGCAUGCAGAUACGUGUGUCUUUUGUUAAUGAAUUUGGAGUUGAGGAGGCAGGAAUUGAUGGUGGUGGUAUUUUUAAAGAUGUCAUGGAGAACAUUACACGGGCAGCCUUUGACGUGCAGUAUGGUUUAUUUAAGGUUAUCACGACAUUCCUUAUUAUUAGCAUGGCAUGGCUUUGUUAAUCCUGUAGUAUUAUUGGAUAACAUGAAGCGUGAUGAGACAGCCAUAGUUGUUUGAAAUCGCUUUUCAAAAUAAAAAUAGUUGUGAGAUCACAUUUCAAUAUAAAAAUUGGUUGCUUGAAAUCUGUUUCAUAAAAUUUCAGUAAUAUGUGGGUAUGUAUUGUUCAUUUUUUCUAAUAUAAGUUAUUUUCUGCUUGGUAAUCCAGCAAAUUGCUGACCAUUUGCUCUACCCCAAUCCUGGUUCGGGAAUGAUACAUGAGCAACAUCUCCAGUUUUUCCAUUUCCUCGAAGUUCUUUUGGCAAAGGUAUGGCCAUAAUUCCCAAUCAUACAUGGAAUUUACUUUGGUUGAUUAGUUUUUUCUUUUUUUGGAUAAGGAUAUCCUGGUCUUGGCCUUAUCAUGGAAGAUUCUUAUAUAUCUUUCACCCCAUACUUUGGUUGAAUUUUGGAACAUUAAUGUAUCGCCUGACAUUCAUAAAUACAAUGUCAUAAUUUGAAAUCUGCUGUCUUCCUACAUUAUGCAUGUUUUUCUGUUAUUGAAGUUGCUGCCCGGUUGUGCUAAAAGUUCUCAAGCAGUCAUGCUAAAAGAUCUCAAUCACAUUAAAUGAUUUUUGACAGGAUGUUGUUGUUUUACCCUUCUUCCUGUAGGUCAUGUUUGAAGGAAUUCUUGUUGAUAUACUUUUUGCAACAUUCUUCUUGAGCAAGUUAAAACAGAAGUAAGGUUUUUAAAGAUUUACUGUCUUACUGUUUUGUAUUUUGUGCUGAUCCACUAAUCGUAGUAUUGAUGGUCAUGACAAUGACUAGUUGCAAGUUACUUGAAUUUUUUAGGGUUCUAAAAAUCUUACAUUUUAUUAUGGGUGCACUGCCUACUAAUGAGAUUGUCAAUUGCUAACUUCCAAAUGUUGAAUUUGGGAUUUCCAUGCUACAUUUCACUUUCUUGAUCUGCAAUUACAGAGCUACUCUAUACUGGAAUAAAGUCUCAUCUGAACUGUACAUUGCUUUUGAUGCUGUAAUUGCAAAGCUAGGAAAUCUUUAUGUAUAAUGCCUUUUUUUUUAUCAUUUAUUAAUGAAAAUGAGAAGCCUUUUUAUAGGCUGGAGAUUACAAGAGUUGUUAAACUAACUUGGGGUUGAGUUAGUUUACUUAUAACUAACUCAAGAUACAAAAUUGUUAAUUCAAAUAACUAAUCCUAAACUAUAAAAAAUGGUAAUUCAAACACCUCCUCUAGGAUAAAACUCAAGAAACAUAAAGAAGGGGAUGUUCUACAUUAGCUUUUGUCAAGGCUUUAGCCAAAAUUUUAUUUAUCAACUGUGGGGGAGGAUUUGAGAGCUCCCCAAUCUCUACACACUUCUCUAAUGAGAGUCUUAUACCAAAAUCAAUCAAGAUACCCAUACCCUUCCACUCAAGAAACUUAAGUAAUUGCUUAGAGAAAUAACAAAAUACUUGGCCCCACUCUAACAAACACAUUCCUAAGGGCCCACACAAAUAGAAAAAAUAUCAACUAACUCUCAAUCAUUCUUUCUUCUUCCUAUUCUUGUCUCUACGGGAAUACACCUUUACUAUGGGAGGUCUAUCAUUACCCGCCCCCCAAAUAGCCACCUUGUCCUCAAGGUGGAAUUCAGGAAAACUGUUUCUUGAAUAAGAGCAGCUUGUUCCCACGUUGCACUUUCAAGUGUCCCCUCACUCGAACGGAUCAAAACUUCUAAGUUGUCCUCCUUUUCUAUUGUUUUGCGAACUCCCAAUACUUCUACCGGAGACACUUGCAUAGACAAAUCAGCAGCCAAAUCUUUUGAAAUUGGGAAUAAUGGCCUGUUUGAACCCACGACCUUGCGAAGAACAGAAACAUGAAAGACCGGGUGUAUAAGCGAUUCCUUGGGAAGGGCCAAACGGUAUGCAACGAAACGAAUUCGUGCCACGAUCAUAAAUGAACCAAUGAAUCUUGGGGCUAAUUUGGUGUGCUUAAAACGGCUGAGAGAGGACUGUCGGUAAGGCGCGUAACUUCACAUAAACCCAAUCAUGAACCUCAAACUGCACCUCCCGUCUUUUAGCAUUAGCAUAUUUGACCAUUCGCUGCUGUGCUUUCAGUAAAUUGGCCUUCAAAACGCCCAAAAUUUCAUCUCUUUCUUUCAUCAAAUGGUCUACUUCAUCAUUCACCCGGCUCGAGCCCUUCACAUAUGGUAAUAUAGAGGGGGGUGGUUGCCCAUAGAGGGCCUCGAAGGGGGUCAUCAAUGUGGCUGUACGGACUGUUGUAUUAUAGCUUAAUUCAGCCCAAGCUAGCCAUUUAACCCAUUGUUUAGGUGUGUUCAUAGAAAAACACCCUAGAUACGUCUCCACCCCUCGAUUGACAACUUCCGUUUGACCAUGUAUUUGGGGGUGGUAAGUGGUGCUUCGUCUCAACUGAGUUUCCAACAACCUCCACAACUCUUCCCAUAAUAGACUUGUGAAAAUACGAUCACGAUCCGACACUAUACUUCAGGGGCAUCCAUGCAAACGAAUAAUCUCUCGCAUAAAAACAGCAGCAACCACUUUUGCACCAAAUGGAUGUUUCAAGGGGAUGAAAUGUGCAUACUUGGAAAGAAGAUCCGCAACUACCAAUAUAACAUCAUAACCCUCGGAUUUGGGGAGGCCCUCAAUAAAAUCCAUACUAAUAUCUUCCCACACACGGUCCGGAAUGGGUAAUGCUUGAAGGAAACCAGCCGGAGUUAAAGACAAGUAUUUGGCUUGUUGACACACGGAACAUUCAGCAACAUAGGUGCGGAUAUGGGCUUUCAUACCUCGCCAAUAUACCUCCCUUGCUAGCCUUUGAUAUGUUUUCAAUGCACCAUGAUGUCCCCCUAUCUGGCUGUUAUGGAAUUCAGCUAAUAAUAAAGUAAUAUUAGGUGAAUCCUCCUCCUUGUAGCGAAUAUCCCUCUGGAGCUUGUUGUCCAUUUAUCAAGGAUAGUCGAAUAUUGUUAAGAGAUUCAUUUCCAGCCACUUGAUCGAUGAAAACUGAAGGGUUUAGCCCGCCCACAAUACUUACGAGGCCCAAUUCAAAUACCGGUGGUAAUCUCUAUAAGGCAUCGGCCGCUUUGUUUUCCAAUCCUUUCUUGUACUCAAUCACAAAAUCAUACCCCAAUAGUUUAGCGAUCCAUCUCUGAUAUUCUCCCCCGAUAGCCCGUUGUUCAAGAAGAAACUUCAAACUUUUCUGAUCUGUACGCACCACAAAAGGCUUACCCAAUAGAUAUGGUCGCCAUUUUUGAACAGCCAGCACUAUUGCCAUAAGCUCCCGUUCAUAAACAGCCUUAAACCUAUGGGUAAUAGGUAAAGCUUGACUGAAAAAGGCCACUGGUCGUUGAUUUUGCAUUAGGACAGCCCCAAUACCCACACCCGAAGCAUCAGUUUCCAGCACAAAACUUUGUGAAAAAUCAGGAAUACCUAGCAUCGGGACAGACAUCAUUGCUGACUUUUAACUGCUGAAAUGCGUUCUCGGUCGUCUCAUUCCACUUAAAGUUACCUUUUUUUAACAGUUGUGUCAAGGGGGGCAGCACAAUAGAACCGUAGUUUGCAACGAAUUUCCGAUAAUACCCCGUUAGCCCCAAAAAACCCACCUAGCUCCUUCACGUUCUUGGGUGCUGGCCAUUUAACCAUCGCUUCUAUUUUUGUUGGAUCCGCUGCCACCCCCUCUGAAGAAAUAACAUGGCCCAAGUAUUCAAUUUUGUCAACCGCAAAUUGGCAUUUUUUAAAGUUGGCUACCAGUUGAUGAGCUACUAGAGUUUCCAAAACCAUUGCCAAUUGGUGCAAAUGCUCGUCCAAGGACUUGCUGUAAAUUAAGAUGUCAUCAAAGAAAACCAAAACAAACUUGCGUAAAUAUGGGCGAAGAACAUCACUCAUGAUUGAUUGGAAUGUUGCCGGAGCGUUUCAACCCAAACAGCAUCACAAGGAAUUCAUAGGGCCCCUCGUGGGUUCGAAAUGCUGUUUUGUGAACAUCGGCUGCCCGCACAAAUAGAAAAAUAUCAGAAUGCUUGUUUUUCUUUAUUUAUUUUGUAAUGUCAAUUAAUUGGCUAAUUAUUUAUCAGAAUGCUUGUUGAUAUCGCUGCAUGUUUUAUUUUGUAAUGUUUGUACUUUUUAGUUGUGAUUUGUGAAUAUGCUAGGAUUGAUUUGAUUUGCUCUUCUGACUGUUAAGAUCGGAAUGAUGUUGCUCAUCUGAAAGUAGGCAGCAUCAUGUGCUUGAAGACUUGUAGAGUAUGGAGAGUGAAUGGUCAAAUUUGAGGAAUCAUAUCUGCUGGCUUUGUAGUCCAAACAGGUUGUCUGGCUAACUUUCUUUUUCUCAUUUUCAACCAAUUAGGAUAGCUGUCAUGUUUUUUGAAUUCCUUGCCAUUCUUGAGUAGUAACUUGGCAUUUAUUUAUUAAAAGGUUUUAAUUAAGAUUGUGGUGUUCAUAACUUUGUAGUCACACUAAAUAACUUAAAAGAGUUAGUUUGAUAGUUGACAAACAUGAUAGUAAUGUGAUAGUGAGUGCAAGGGUAAAAAGAGUUGCUUCUGUUGGGUUAAAGUGAUGUUUGUGUUUUUUAGUGUGAUGUGUUUUGUUUUCAAGUUCGUUAGUAGACGUAUUACUUAAUUGAAAAUUUUGAUACCAUAGCCAGUGUAGGGGAAGAUGAAUGGAGGGUGCUAUUAGACUAGUUAAGACUUAUAUGUAUCCUAAUUUUAGUAAUAUAUAAAAUUGAGAGAAUUUCCUUUGAUUUUCAGGAACAAGGAUGAAUAAUCAAUGAAAAAGGAAUGAAAAGGUUUAUCCAUGCAAGCUUCAAACCAAAGUCAUGGAUGUCGAUCCUUCCAGGGGAGUCCAAAGUUCCCCCCUUAUUUUUCUCCAUUUACUUUGAUUUUCAAAAGCUUUUAGGACAGAAAAAGCAAUUUUUUGAGUGGGUGUGGGUAAUAGCUUGCUUAGCUUGCAUGUUUAGUGUAAACUUGGGGGUUCAAAUUUUGCCCAAAUUUCAAAAUUUUUCAGAAUUCUUUCCAUACAAUAAUGAGCAUUAUACCUUCUUAGCUUAAUUAGAUCUUGCAUAAAAAGCAUGAUUGGCAACCCUUGAGCACUGAGCUCGGGUUUAUGAUGUGAAAUUCUGAAUUUUGAUGAGUAUAUGUGCUGAAAUUUGAGCAUAAGCUGCUGUCUUUUUUGUUUUAAGCUCCUUUUAGCUAUUUCUUAUUGAGAUGUGAAUGCAUGAUUGAGAAAAUGGUAUGUGUGUUGUGAAUGCUUGAUUGCAUGUAUAAUAAAUAAGUGCAUGGAUACUUUUCUAGCUUUGUCUUCCUUUGUUGCUUUGUCGUGACUUACCUAUGAUGCACUUAGUCCAAACCUAGCCUAGAUAGAGUAAAAAAGGAUAGGAGGCUCUCUUUAGAAACUGGGAUGGUUUUAACAAAUUUGUCUUGUCAAACAUGAGUUAGAAGCCUCUUGUCUAGCCACAAUGAACUAAAUCCCUUUAGAAAAGGGUCGACAUUAACAAAACUUAUUGUCACUUCGAAGGGAGCAAUCAAACUUAAUUAGUAACUAAAUGUAGAACCAUAGAAAGGUUAGCCCACCGGUUCUAGCAAGGCCUAGUUACCACAUUGCAUACCAAAGAAAGAAAAGAGAGACUUGACAAUGCAAAACAUAAAAACAGUAAGACAAUCAAGAGCUAUAAAAAAAAUCAAACAACAUAUCAAUUAUACAUUAGAAAAAGCCCAUAAAAAUGGGGGAAACUUCACUUUUGGCCUAACCAAAAUCAGACUACCUACUCUUAGCGUUCUAAACAUAGCAUCGAGUUUGAUGAGGGCUUUGAAAAGAGGAGAAAUCCUCCCCGAUCCACAUUAGGGGGAAAACAAGGCUUGUUGUCACUUCGAAGGGAGCAGUCAAACUUAGCAUUGAGUUUGACGAGGGCUUUGAAAAGAGGAGGAAUCCUCCCCGUUCCAUAGUAGGGGGAAAACGAGGCUUGUUGUCACUCCGAAGGGAGCAGUCAAACUUAGAAACUAAGUUUAGAACCAUAGAAAGGUUAGCCCACCGGUUCUAGCAAGACCUUGUUACCACAUUGCAUACCAAAGAAACAAAAGAGAGACUUGCAAAUGCAAAACGUAAAAAGGUUAGACAAUCAAGAGCUAUAAAAAAACAAACAACACAUGUAAUAUACAUUAGAAAAAUCCCAUAAAAAAACAAAGAUCCAACUGGUUCGGUCAAGUAGAAUGUGUUGAGUUCCCUAACUAUCAGAGCUUUUAGCAGAAAACUUUACUUUUGGCCUAACCAAAACCAAACCACCUACUCUUAGCGUUCUAAACUUAGCAUCGAGUUUGAUGAGGGCUUUGAAAAGAGGAGGAAUCCUCCCCGAUCCACAUUAGGGGGAAAACAAGGCUUGUUGUCACUCCGAAGGGAGCAGUCAAACUUAGCAUUGAGUUUGACGAGGGCUUUGAAAAGAGGAGGAAUCCUCCCCGUUCCAUAGUAGGGGGAAAACGAGGCUUGUUGUCACUCCGAAGGGAGCAGUCAAACUUAGAAACUAAGUUUAGAACCAUAGAAAGGUUAGCCCACCGGUUCUAGCAAGACCUUGUUACCACAUUGCAUACCAAAGAAACAAAAGAGAGACUUGCAAAUGCAAAACGUAAAAAGGUUAGACAAUCAAGAGCUAUAAAAAAACAAACAACACAUGCAAUAUACAUUAGAAAAAUCCCAUAAAAAAACAAAGAUCCAACUUGGUUCGGUCAAGUAGAAUGUGUUGAGUUCCCUAACUAUCAGAGCUUUUAGCAGAAAACUUUACUUUUGGCCUAACCAAAACCAAACCACCUACUCUUAGCGUUCUAAACUUAGCAUCGAGUUUGAUGAGGGCUUUGAAAAGAGGAGGAAUCCUCCCCGAUCCACAUUAGGGGGAAAACAAGGCUUGUUGUCACUCCGAAGGGAGCAGUCAAACUUAGCAUUGAGUUUGACGAGGGCUUUGAAAUGAGGAGGAAUCCUCCUCGUUCCAUAGUAGGGGGAAAACGAGGCUUGUUAUGACUCGGAUUUUCCCUUGGGAAACUUAUUAUAAAAGUUGACAACCAUAGAAAGAUUAUUGAUUGGUUUCUGAACCACUGUGGUGCCACAUUGUUUGUUAUUUUCCCUUAUGAUUGACUUGUAAAUGCUUGGUUUUCUAAGGUUAGAUAAUCAUCAUCUAUAAAGUGUUCUAACUUGAUAUGCACAUAUCUCUUAGUGUUAGUACUUUCUUAACCUUUCUCUCUCUUACAUAUAUCAGGUGGAAUAUGUUGAGCAUUUUCGCUAGCAAGGAUUAUGUACUUAACAAGGCCUUAGUGGAUUAGAGAGUUAAGAAAUUUGCAUAUGCUUGCAUCCAGACUGUACACCAUAAUAGGUAAUUAGUUUUUUCCAUUUCAACAUUCCUUAUUAAAAACUUAUCCUUUUUAACGUUUUGAAUGGAAAAACAGAUGUUUGAUCUAUCAUUGUUGAUUUUGUUGGCUUUCUAUGCUAUGAUCCUUUAAUUGUAUAUGAUAUAUUUCUUUUGUUGAAAAGUGAUAUAUUUCUUAGAUUUUGUUCAGAUAUAUAUAAUUGACAUAAAGGUUUUUUUACCUUCAGCUAACGAAUUCAGACUAAUCUUAUUUAUAUAUAUGAUAAGUUGUCUUUAUUUUUCCUCUGAAUUAUUCUUACUUGAUGUUGUUCUUGAUAGAAACCAAUUGAGGAAUCAACUUUUGGCUGCACCUGUGAACUCUAACACACCUGCAACUCUAUUGUUAGACACAAUUAUUUUCUUAUUACAACCUGAACUCCCAUGGGUUUGUAAAAUUGUUGGUUACUUCCUGGAAAGAAAUGCAUAUGCGUUGAUUAGGGAUAUCACUUUGACAGGGAAGGUAUAAAUGUACUUCCUUUUUUUUCUACUUGCAAGUGGUUUUUUUUAUAGACAUUCUGUUUUGUCGUGGUUUAUCCUCUGCAGGUGUUUUCAGAGAACUAAUUCACACUCAAACUAUUGCAGGAAAGUGCAGAUUCACAUUCCAAGAGUUCAUUGGCUUCUCUAGAACAUCGCUGUCUCUUUUGAGUUCUCAUGUUGGUAAGAAGCCAUGUUGUUGCCCACGUGUUGAUCCCAAUUGGAGUUUCUCCUCUCAAAUUCUUACUCUUCCUUUACUGUGGCGGACAUUCACAUUUCACACCUCUCUCUACCCAAUGGACAAAGUUGCAUGUGUCAUCCUCUACUAGGUUUGUGUACCUUGCUGUUUGGAUAUAAUGGCGUUAGUAAUGGUUUAAAGGUCAUGUUUUCUCAAUAACGAGAAACAUAACAUGCAUGUACUUCAUUUAAAAAAGAAAAAAAAAACUCUAUAGAUUUUUUUUGAAAAGAUCUUUUUAAGUACAACUUGGUGUGGGACAUAAAAAAUUAUGACUAUUCUAGCAUACAGAAUGGAGUUAGUUCCAGUACUCUGGAGUUUUAUUAAAAAGUGCCACGAGAAUAAAAAAUGGUCAUCCUUUUCAGAGAAAUUGGCAUAUUUAUCAGGAGAUGCACCUGGUUGGCUAUUACCUUUGGCUGUUUUUUGUCCUGUGUACAAGUAAGAUUAUCUUCUUUAUUCCUGUUCCUCUACUUUUGAAUUUCGCUUUAAUUCCUCAUCUGAUGUUAUAUAAUUAUAUGGUAUGUUAUAAGAUUCGGCAUGUCCUGAUCACUUCUUUCCUUAUCAAUCAGGCACAUGCUCAUAAUAAUUGACAAUGAGGAGUUUUAUGAGCAGGAAAAGCCACUAUCGUUAAAGGACAUCAGAUGCCUGAUCGUUAUUUUAAGACAGGUGAGCUCUUUAAUUCCAUCAUAUGUCCAAAAAGAUACCCAUACCCUCCCACUCAAGACACUUAAGUAAUUGCUCAGAGAAAUAACAAAAUACUUGGCCCCACUCUAACAAACACAUUCCUAAGGGCCCACACAAAUAGAAAAAUACCAACUAACUCUCAAUCAUUCUUUCUUCUUCCUAUUCUUGUCUCUACGGGAAUACACGUUUACUAUGGGAGGUCUAUCAUUAUCCGCCCCCCAAAGAGCCACCUUGUCCUCAAGGUGGAAUUCAGGAAACUGUUCUUGAAUAAGAGCAGCUUGUUCCCAUGUUGCACUUUCAAGUGUCCCCUCACUCCAACGGAUCAAAACUUCUAAGUUGUCCUCCUUUUCUAUUGUUUUGCGAACUCCCAAUACUUCUACUGGAGACACUUGCAUAGACAAAUCAGCAGCCAAAUCUUUUGGAAUUGGGAAUAAUGGCCUGUUUGAACCCACGACCUUGGUCGGACGCUUUGAAUCUGGCCACAGAAGCUAUCGGAAUUCUGUCCAGCUGCCGAUUUUCUUUCUAUCCUCCUUCCAUUGAUACCAGUCCAAAGCUUCCCCCUCCAAGCACAGGACCGCCGCAUCCAACUUAUCUCUCUCCGUCAGAUAUUCACCACAAAAUAGCGCUCCACACGUUGUAGCUAUCCAUCCACAUUCUCUUCUUCCUCCCCUUUAAAUAUCGACACCUCCAGUUUUCGUAGCCUCAUGUCAAAAAGGGGUAUCUCACGGAUAUUUGGUGCACAUGGUACUCCAACUCCCUCAUCCACCACCGGGUUAGUUUUUUGUUCACUUUUUUCUUCUUGAACUUGUUCCUCAUUCAUUAUUCCCUUUCCCUUGUCCGUAAUCAUUCUUUCACUAGAUGUGGAUCCUUUUGAAGCACUUCCCAUCACUCCCAUCCUGUGUAUUAACAAUUUCAUAUCCUCACUCAAUUUUUACAGAUUAUCCUCAAUCUUUUGUUCAGCCAUUGUACUUCGAACUUCUGCUUCCGCAAAUUGUUUCUUCAUCUUCCUUUCAAAUGCUAAUUGUCGUUCUUCCACUUGUAAAAAUUUUGCUUCUACUCUACUUUCCAUUUCAGUCGUCCCUGUGGUUACUCCCUCUAAACCUUCUUCCAGUUCAACUAUCCUAGCUUCCAUCUUACCAACCAUACCAGGAAAGAUGGCUCUGAUACCAAAAUUGUUAAGGCUUUAGCCACAAUUUUAUUUAUCAACUGUGGGGAAGGAUUUGAGAGCUCCCCAGUUUCUCCACGCUCUAAUGAGAGUCUAUACCAAAAUCAUAUGUCCAAAAAGAUACCCAUACCCUCCCACGCAAGACGCUUAAGUAAUUGCUCAGAGAAAUAAUAAAAUACUUGGCCCCACUCUAACAAACACAUUCCUAAGGGCCCACACAAAUGGAAAAAUACCAACUAACUCUCAAUCAUUCUUUCUUCUUCCUAUUCUUGUCCCUACGGGAAUACACCUUUACUAUGGGAGGUCUAUCAGCUUUCUAUAUAAUUUAUGAGAGUUUAAUAUUGCAUGGUUGCAUGGUAUAAAGAUGGAAUAAUAUUUAACCCAACAUUGAAUAUUUCCAAUGUUUAUCAUCACAACAUGUAUAACUAUCUAAAUGACUUGCCAUCCUUGGAUCCUGAAUUGUAUCGCCACCUUAUUUUCUUAAAGGUGUGUAUUCCCUGGUAUCACUUUUAGCUGAUACCACACUUAGCCUGUUGAUCAAUGAUCUAGAUCAAUCUAGUAUCCUGGUAGAAUCUUUUUCUCACUUCUUAUCUUAAAUUAUGAAGGUGACAUUCCUGAACUAGAGCUAUAUUUUGUUAUUAUAAACAAUGAAUAUGGAAAGCAAAUUGAAGAAGAGCUACUUCCUGGAGGAAAAAACCGUCGUGUCACCUGUGAAAAUGUCAUCACAUUCAUUCAUCUUGUUGCCAAUCAUCGUUUGAACUUUCAGCAUAGUUUGUCCCUUGUUUAUCCAAUGUGUCUCCCUACUCCAAUGUUGAUUGAAAACAUGUCCUCCUCAGAUACGACAACAAAGUUCUCAUUUUUUGAGAGGGAUUCAGCAGCUUAUACAGAAAGAAUGGAUCAACAUGUUCAAUGAGCAUGAAUUCCAGGUAUCACUAACUCACUGAGAUAGUAACGUGGUUUGCAUGAAAAGGCUGUUUUGCUGUUAUAUAAUCUCUUGAUGACUCGUUUAUCAUUGCACAUCAACUGCCUCAUGUGCCUUGAAUCCUGUUUCAUGCUAGUAUUAAUUAUACUAUUUGGGAAAGAAGUAUGUUAAAGGAGGAACAUUUUUUCUCCUAGACCAUACAAAGUCAGUAGGGUUAAGCACUUAGAUUUGCAUUUUUAUUCUUCUUAUUGUGUGGGUGUGUGGGUGGGGGGGGGGGAGGGGGUUAGUAGUUUUGAUAAUGUGCCAUUGUCGACCUUUAAUUUUCAUGUGACGUGAAACACUAAACUAAUUAAAGCAAGAACCUAGAAUGAUUAGGAGUACACUUGAUCUUGUGAUCUGGGCAGCAACCAACCAAAGCCUAAACCCUAGAGGCAUCAGGGUCUUCCUUAUUGAGUUCACCUGAAGGAAUAGAUGUGGGUUUCCUUGAUGAAGUGAAGAUUCAGGUUCUGGAUAAGGAAACUAGUCUUCCUUAAGAUUCAAGUUGUUCAUUUUCGAAGAGGCACAAUGCUCGUAAAAGUGUAGAGGCAGAAUUUUACUAAUCAUUAAAAUCUGAGAAAUAAACAAAGUGAACUAGAUUAUUUUUAGCCUACAUGGACUCUAAGUGGUGACAACUGAAGUCCUUGUAAGGGGAAAAGAUGUGGGAAAAAAAAUUCCCUUGCGAUGGGAAAUGAUAAGAAAAACAUAAAGAGAACCCUAAUUUAGGUCAAAUCAUGGACCAAUGGCUAAAUACUAUGAAGUUUUGUUGCUGGUCUUUUGUGGUUCCAGGAUAAAUCGAGUUGCUGUCUUUGACUGGUCUAUUUCAUUUCAGCUUUCAAUAUCAGGUUCACUGGACAGCUUGGAUGUUGAUGACCUACGGACACAUACUACUUAUUCAAGUGGUUAUCAUAGGGUAAGUUCUAUUAAACCCUUUUUUCUAUAUAUGUAUUUUUGUUUCUUUUCUUUUCUGCGUAAUUGUUUUGCAUAUUGUGUUCGAUAAAAUUUUGAAAAUUUGAAAUCUUGCAAGAAGAUUAGUUACAAUUAAUCUUCCUUUGGAGGUUGAACAAUUCUUGGUUUAGGAUAUCGAAUACUAGAUUUAUUGUAGUGCAAUCGGAAUUGUGAUGUCAAGUCAAUUAAACUUCAAAAUUGUAGAUGAUGUUGGAAGAUCUCACCCGGGUAAUUGGGAGAUGGUUUUGAAGUCUUUGGAGUUUAGGGAGUUGGUCAUCGUUUAGAUUCUUUUUAAUAUUUUUCAAUUAAUUUCGAAUUCAUACAAUGUAUAUGCCUGUAUUAGUGUUUGAAACUGGGUGAUAAAUUGAUUACCAUUAUUCAGACUUCUAGUCCUCUCUUAUGUUUCUAUGACUAUGAAAACAAACUUUGGACUUGUAUUGUUUGUAAUGCUCUGUUUGGUCAGGCACAACCAUGAUCAAGAAAUUUGUGAUAGGAAACGGAGAAAUAUCUUCACUUUUUUAAUGCUUCUGCUGGAUUGAAAAACCAAAUGUGGGAACUUCGGAAUUUGAAUUUUUAUUUCAUGCUUUCAGGAGCAUUAUGUCAUUGAGAUGUUUUGGGAAGUUAUCAAAAGUUUCUCAGUGGAAAACCAAAAGAAAUUUCUGAAGUGAGUAUUUUCAUUACACAUCAGUUGGUUACUUCUUGUCUCAAGUUGGCUUAAAGAAAAACUGAACUUCAAAAAUAUAACAAUUGUAUCUUGCUUUUUCAUUAGGUUUGUAACUGGUUACUCUCGAGGACCACUUCGUAUCCUCAUUAUUCUUAAUUAUUUGUUUUGGUUUCCCUUAAGGGGAUAAGUUGGUUCCUUCUAGAGCUUAAACUAAUUUAUCCUGCUAGCAAAAAUCAUGUGAAAAAGUAACUCAGUAUGAGACAAGGUACAUUUCUGACUAGUACUUUAUUGUGCAGAGACUGGCAGAUGGUUUAAGUAGCUUUAAAACAAGUAGAAUAAAUCUUAUUGAUUUACCUGGUUCCGGAGGCAGAAGCUAACAGGUGCAGCUGGGGAGCGCUUGAAGGAAGCACGCAAUAUCAACCGAUCACUCUCACAACUCGGGUAACCGAUCAAAACUAUUGGGAGAUAUUUCAAAUUUCAUUUAAGCAGUGAUCUUUCCAAUGAUUUUUUUCUUUAUUUAUUUUGUAAUGUCAAUUAAUUGGCUAAUUAUUUAUCAGAAUGCUUGUUGAUAUCGCUGCAUGUUUUAUUUUGUAAUGUUUGUACUUUUUAGUUGUGAUUUGUGAAUAUGCUAGGAUUGAUUUGAUUUGCUCUUCUGACUGUUAAGAUCGGAAUGAUGUUGCUCAUCUGAAAGAAGGCAGCAUCAUGUGCUUGAAGACUUGUAGAGUAUGGAGAGUGAAUGGUCAAAUUUGAGGAAUCGUAUCUGCUGGCUUUGUAGUCCAAACAGGUUGUCUGGCUAACUUUCUUUUUCUCAUUUUCAACCAAUUAGGAUAGCUGUCAUGUUUUUUGAAUUCCUUGCCAUUCUUGAGUAGUAACUUGGCAUUUGUUUAUUAAAAGGUUUUAAUUAAGAUUAUGGUGUUCAUAACUUUGUAGUGUCACACUAAAUAACUUAAAAGAGUUAGUUUGACAGUUGACAAACAUGAUAGUAAUGUGAUAGUGAGUGCAAGGGUAAAAAGAGCUGCUUCUGUUGGGUUAAAGGGAUGUUUGUGUUUUUUAGUGUGAUGUGUUUUGUUUUCAAGUUCGUUAGUAGACGUAUUACUUAAUUGAGCAUUUUGAUACCAUAGCCAGUGUAGGGGAAGAUGAAUGGAGGGUGCUAUGAGACUAGUUAAGACUUAUAUGUAUCCUAAUUUUAGUAAUAUAUAAAAUUGAGAGAAUUUCCUUUGAUUUUCAGGAACAAUGAUGAAUAAUCAAUGAAAAAUGAAUGAAAAGGUUUAUCCAUGCAAGCUUCAAACCAAAGUCAAGGAUAUCGAUCCUUCCAGGGGAGUCCAAAGUUCCAAGAUUGUUUAUCCAUGCAUCAUUUUGUCGAUCUACUAAGAUUAAAUUGUCUCGUUGUAGUUGCAAGACUGGAACAAUAGACGGCAGUUUACACCACCCAGUGACUUCCAUGCUGACGCGAUGAAUGAUUAUUUCAUUUCACAGGUAAUUGUUCUCAAUGAAUGUUUUGGUUCUAACGACCUGCUAUCUGAUCGUAAUUCUAAUUAUUUACUUGGCCUUGUUUCUUUGUAGGCAGUGAUAGAAAAUACCAGAGCAAAUGAUAUACACAAGCGAGUUCCCUUUUUAGUACCGUUUACUAGCAGGGUUAAGAUUUUCACUGUAAGCAAGUUAUUUUUUUGGUUUCCUUAUCCACAAUAUUGAAUUUCUUGGACGACUGUUAGUUAUAGAAAUAUGUAAGAUAUUUUUUAUUUAUGGUUACUUUCUCUAUAACUCAUUUCACAGACACAACUAGCAGCAGCUAGGCAAAGGAAUGGAUCUCUUGCUGUUUUUGCCAGAAACCGGUUUAGAAUUCGACGAAAUCAUAUAUUGGAAGAUGCUUUCAGUCAGAUGAGUGCAUUGUCUGAAGUUGAUCUUCGAGGAUCGGUAAUUUCAGACUUCCAUGAUUUAUGAAAAAUGAAAUUGUUAUCUUACUUUUUUCUAUCUUUUUCUUUGCCCUCGUGAAAACGACCCCUUCCCUCUUCUGCAUCCUAUAGUUGCAGAGUUACUUGUAAUUGUUUAUUAGUUUUUUCUUGUUUGUGUUGGGUCAAUUGCUUCACUUUUCUGCAUGCAGAUACGUGUGUCUUUUGUUAAUGAAUUUGGAGUUGAGGAGGCAGGAAUUGAUGGUGGUGGUAUUUUUAAAGAUGUCAUGGAGAACAUUACACGGGCAGCCUUUGACGUGCAGUAUGGUUUAUUUAAGGUUAUCACGACAUUCCUUAUUAUUAGCAUGGCAUGGCUUUGUUAAUCCUGUAGUAUUAUUGGAUAACAUGAAGCGUGAUGAGACAGCCAUAGUUGUUUGAAAUCGCUUUUCAAAAUAAAAAUAGUUGUGAGAUCACAUUUCAAUAUAAAAAUUGGUUGCUUGAAAUCUAUUUCAUAAAAUUUCAGUAAUAUGUGGGUAUGUAUUGUUCAUUUUUUCUAAUAUAAGUUAUUUUCUGCUUGGUAAUCCAGCAAAUUGCUGACCAUUUGCUCUACCCCAAUCCUGGUUCGGGAAUGAUACAUGAGCAACAUCUCCAGUUUUUCCAUUUCCUCGAAGUUCUUUUGGCAAAGGUAUGGCCAUAAUUCCCAAUCAUACAUGGAAUUUACUUUGGUUGACUAGUGUUUUUUCUUUUUUUGGAUAAGGAUAUCCUGGUCUUGGCCUUAUCAUGGAAGAUUCUUAUAUAUCUUUCACCCCAUACUUUGGUUGAAUUUUGGAACAUUAAUGUAUCGCUUGACAUUCAUAAAUACAAUGUCAUAAUUUGAAAUCUGCUGUCUUCCUACAUUAUGCAUGUUUUUCUGUUAUUGAAGUUGCUGCCCGGUUGUGCUAAAAGUUCUCAAGCAGUCAUGCUAAAAGAUCUCAAUCACAUUAAAUGAUUUUUGACAGGAUGUUGUUGUUUUACCCUUCUUCCUGUAGGUCAUGUUUGAAGGAAUUCUUGUUGAUAUACUUUUUGCAACAUUCUUCUUGAGCAAGUUAAAACAGAAGUAAGGUUUUUAAAGAUUUACUGUCUUACUGUUUUGUAUUUUGUGCUGAUCCACUAAUCGUAGUAUUGAUGGUCAUGACAAUGACUAGUUGCAAGUUACUUGAAUUUUUAGGGUUCUAAAAAUCUUACAUUUUAUUAUGGGUGCACUGCCUACUAAUGAGAUUGUCAAUUGCUAACUUCCAAAUGUUGAAUUUGGGAUUUCCAUGCUACAUUCACUUUCUUGAUCUGCAAUUACAGAGCUACUCUAUACUGGAAUAAAGUCUCAUCUGAACUGUACAUUGCUUUUGAUGCUGUAAUUGCAAAGCUAGGAAAUCUUUAUGUAUAAUGCCUUUUUUUUAUCAUUUAUUAAUGAAAAUGAGAAGCCUUUUUAUAGGCUGGAGAUUACAAGAGUUGUUAAACUAACUUGGGGUUGAGUUAGUUUACUUAUAACUAACUCAAGAUACAAAAUUGUUAAUUCAAAUAACUAAUCCUAAACUAUAAAAAUGGUAAUUCAAACACCUCCUCUAGGAUAAAACUCAAGAAACAUAAAGAAGGGGGAUGUUCUACAUUAGCUUUUGUCAAGGCUUUAGCCAAAAUUUUAUUUAUCAACUGUGGGGGAGGAUUUGAGAGCUCCCCAAUCUCUACACACUUCUCUAAUGAGAGUCUAUACCAAAAUCAAGAUACCCAUACCCUCCCACUCAAGAAACUUAAGUAAUUGCUUAGAGAAAUAACAAAAUACUUGGCCCCACUCUAACAAACACAUUCCUAAGGGCCCACACAAAUAGAAAAAUAUCAACUAACUCUCAAUCAUUCUUUCUUCUUCCUAUUCUUGUCUCUACGGGAAUACACCUUUACUAUGGGAGGUCUAUCAUUACCCGCCCCCCAAAUAGCCACCUUGUCCUCAAGGUGGAAUUCAGGAAACUGAUUCUUGAAUAAGAGCAGCUUGUUCCCACGUUGCACUUUCAAGUGUCCCCUCACUCCAACGGAUCAAAACUUCUAAGUUGUCCUCCUUUUCUAUUGUUUUGCGAACUCCCAAUACUUCUACCGGAGACACUUGCAUAGACAAAUCAGCAGCCAAAUCUUUUGAAAUUGGGAAUAAUGGCCUGUUUGAACCCACGACCUUGCGAAGAACAGAAACAUGAAAGACCGGGUGUAUAAGCGAUUCCUUGGGAAGGGCCAAACGGUAUGCAACGAAACGAAUUCGUGCCACGAUCAUAAAUGAACCAAUGAAUCUUGGGGCCAAUUUGGAGUGCUUAAAACGGCUGAGAGAGGACUGUCGGUAAGGGCGUAACUUCACAUAAACCCAAUCAUGAACCUCAAACUGCACCUCCCGUCUUUUAGCAUUAGCAUAUUUGACCAUUCGCUGCUGUGCUUUCAGUAAAUUGGCCUUCAAAACGCCCAAAAUUUCAUCUCUUUCUUUCAUCAAAUGGUCUACUUCAUCAUUCACCCGGCUCGAGCCCUUCACAUAUGGUAAUAUAGAGGGGGGUGGUCGCCCAUAGAGGGCCUCGAAGGGGGUCAUCAAUGUGGCUGUACGGACUGUUGUAUUAUAGCUUAAUUCAGCCCAAGCUAGCCAUUUAACCCAUUGUUUAGGUGUGUUCAUAGAAAAACACCCUAGAUACGUCUCCACCCCUCGAUUGACAACUUUUUUCAUACUUUUUGAAAUUUUGGUAGGUUGUGAGUUACAAACUUACACUGAAGCAUUGCUUGGUCGUUUUGAAAAUUCAAGUGAUACUUACACACGUUUUGAAUACAUUUUAGGUUAGAUUGAGUUUGUUGCACUUGGUUGUCAUUUUUGGUCUUGAAAUGCUUUUUUCAACCUUUUUGGUAGAUUAUGAGUUACUAACUUACACUUAGGAUUUGCUAGAUCGUUUUGAAAACUCAAGUAAUACCUAGACACGUUUUGAGCAUGUUUUAGGUUGGUUUGAACUAAGUUUGUUGCACUUACACACUUGGUUGCCAUUUUGGGUCUUGUAGUGCUUUUUUCACUCUAUUUGAACUUUUUUCGUAGGUUAUGAGUUACGAACCUACACGUAAGCUUUUUUAGGUCGUUUUGAAAGUUCAAGUGAUACUUAGACACGUUUUGAACUCGUUUUAGGUUGGUUUGACACUAAGUUUUAAACACAUUUGAUUGACAUGUUGGGUCUUGAAGUACUUUUUUCACACUUUUUGAAAUUUUGGUAGGUUGUGAGUUACAAACUUACACUUAAGCAUUGCUGGGUCGUUUUGAAAAUUCAAGUGAUACUUACACACGUUUUGAAUACAUUUUAGGUUAGAUUGAGUUUGUUGCACUUACACACAUGGUUGUCAUUUUUGGUCUUGAAAUGCUUUUUUCAACCUUUUCGGUAGAUUAUGAGUUACGAACUUACCCUUAGGAUUUGCUAGGUCGUUUUGAAAACUCAAGUAAUACCUAGACACGUUUUGAGCACGUUUUAGGUUGGUUUGAACUAAGUUUGUUGCACUUACACACUUGGUUGCCAUUUUGGGUCUUGUAGUGCUUUUUUCACAAUAUUUGAACUUUUUUCGUAGGUUAUGAGUUACGAACCUGCACGUAAGCUGUUUUAGGUCGUUUUGAAAGUUGCAGUGAAAGUUAGACACGUUUUGAGCACGUUUUAGGUCGUUUUGAGCAUGUUUUAGGUCGUUUUGAGUAAAUGGUAUGUAUGUUGUGAUUGUUUGAUUGCAUGUAUAAUACCUUAUUGAGAUGUGUAUGCUUGAUUGAGAAGCUGAUAGAACACCAAGUAAUGGUUCUUAUUUGUUCAUUAAGCAACCAAACUAUUACAGAAUACAAUACUCAAACCAGUCUUGAAAACACCGAACAAACAAGUACUAUUACAGACAAUAACCAAGUAUAAAAUAAAACAUUCAAACAUCAAAAGUAGUUUAGGAUAAUGGAAAACACUUUCUAAGAUUAAAGUAACUGAACAACUUCUGUAAUUCUGCUCUCCAGAAAAUACAGCCCCUCCACUUCCAGAAACUGAUUAACCAACCCCCAUCUUUCCUUCCAUCUCUCCCUUUUAACCUCCCCCUGUAACUAACUGUUGUCCCCACUAAGGUGGUUUCCACUUCCUCCAAUUCCAUCACCUGUGCACGUGCAAUUCCACUUGUCUUUCUUCUGCUAUAUUGUAUUGCAAUUGGUGGUCUAUCAUUACUCUCCCUCUCCAAAGACACCUUGUUCUCAAGGUGGGAAAUGAGGAAGCUUUUGUGUAAAAUCAUCACAGUUCUCCCAUGUAGCCUCAUGAGGUGGUAUUCCUUUCCAACUAACAAGCACUUCCCACUUCUUUGUUGCUGGAUUUUUAGGAUAGCCAAAAUUGUCUGCUGGUAGUAACUCUUGAAAUGUAGGAACAUCAUCAAUUCCAUAUAGUUCGGUAAAUGUCAUUCCUCCCUCCAUAGCUCGACAUUUUGUCAAGAAACCUUAAUCAGAUGGUGUCCAUGUCUCCAUCAUGUGUUACAGACUCACUCUAGUCUUUGUCAAACUCGGGUCACCCCUUAUAACAACAUUCUUUUCAUUUUGUAUGAAAGAUAAAGUGAGUUUCCGCUAAUCCACUUCAGUUACCCCAACGUGUGCAGCCAUUGCAUUCCAAGGAUGACAUCCUGAUAGAACACUGAUGUAGUGUUUCUAUUAUAUUGAUAAUUCAAACACAACUUACAACAUAAGCAAACCGUGAACCUCAGAAAAAUGAGUCACGUUACAUAUAAUUCACAAACAUCAAACAAAGAAAACCUCCUAAUCCAAAAUUCCAAACAACAAAAUACUAAUAAGCAAACCAGAAUAUAGAAACACCAAUCUUCUGCUUCCCCUGUCUUUCAAGCAGUAUUGCAGACAUUUUCCUUCACUCCAAAAACUCACUUUAACAAAGAGGCAGCCACAUUUUCAGGUAUAGAAAAUAAAGUAGGUAGUAUGUAGGAAGGCUAACCAGAACUGAGUUGCAUAAGGUUUGUCUUCCGCCUCUAGAGAUGUUAUAUCUUUUUCCACCUUUCAAGUUUCUUGUGAAUUCGAUCAAUGACUGGUUGCCAAAAAGACUUUUGUCGAGGGUAGCCUCCCAAAGGGAGACCUAAAUAUAUAAUCGGAAGCUUUUCUACCUUGCACCCUAUCAGAUUUGCUGUUUGAAACAAAUCUUCCUCUCCCACAUUAACGCCGCUAAGGGCUGAUUUUUCCCAGUUUACUUUCUG